AAAACUAGGGCAGCAAGAGUGGAACAAAACACCAGGCAUAAGGCCGAGCCUUCCACCCUUUACCAAAUAUAUAGAUGCAUUAAUAAUAUAAGAGAUAUUGUGAUAUCCCAACAAGUAAACAUGUUCCAACAAGGAACAACAUCUCCAUGUUCCAACAAGGAACAAACUUUAAUCUUCACCUGCAACUAACAACACUAUAAGAGAGGCUGAGCAAAGCGGUAACAUAGCCAAACAACGGUUUGCUAGGAAUGGUGUCAAAGGUUAGAGGUUUGACAUGGCAAUUUGGGAGGCUGACAAGCAAAUGGUAGGCAUCGUAGCAUUGGCAUAGCAAAAGAGCGAGCAAACUAGCAUAGCAAAGAUAGUAGUGAUUUCGACGGUAUGCUCAUCUUGCCUGAGAUCCCGCAAGGAAGAAGAACGAUUCCAAGAAGAAGACAAACCGUCGUAGACGAACGAACCCUCACAACUUCGGAACGAAACCGAAGCUAACGAGAGAAGCAAACCGGAAAGAAGCAAACAAUAUGGUAAACACACAAGCAUAAACAUGUCAUGAUGCACAAACAAGUAUGAUGCAUGUCCGGUUUAAUGAGGCAUGGCAUGGCAAAGUGCACAAACAACACUACAAGUUAAGUGGAGCUCAAUAUGCAACGAGUUGCAUAUUGACGAAACACCACAUCAAUUAUUUAGUUCUCUCUCGGUUAUGAACACAACAAUAUUAAAUGUUUGUUAACAUGCAAGUGGUGAAGCAUAACAAAAACUAUACCAUCUAAACAAUUUAAAUGGGGCCGGAUAUAAAAACAACAAAUCCGAUAAAUCCCCAUAUGCAUUUAGCAAUUUAAUGCAACAACAAGUUUAAACAUUUUAAUUGUUGCUAUCAUGAUGCGGAUGACAUAUACAAGUUUUAUGCAGUUUUAUGAAUACGUUGACAUGAGCAUGUUAUGAAGCAUUUGUCGCCAUGGCGGAACAAAAGGGGUGCCACGGCGGCGAAACGAAAAGGGUGCCACGGCGACGAAACGAAAAGGGUGCCACGGCAACAUAUCCGAAAAUGAUGCCACGGCAACAUAUUGGUUCCGGUAGCUCACGGAGAUACCGGUGCGAAAGGAGGCGUGACGUGAGCGAGUCAUGCAAGAUGGUGGGGUGAUCCCGGCUACCGGGUUCCCACGUGACAGUGGCAUGGCAAAAGAGCAAGGAGCUUGCAAUGACAAUUCGGACACGGUGCACACACAAGCAUUCGUCCACGGUCGUCGUCUUGGCGGUUAUACCUUUGAAUCGUGCAUUAACGAAGCGGAUCAAGUUCGGCGAAGGAAGUAGUCGUUCUCGCGGCGGCGGUAGUGGAAGUAGUUGUACUCGGCCGUAGCGGAAGUAGACGUUCUCGCGACGGUAGUGGAAGUAGUGGUACACGGUGACGGUAGUUGUACACGUGUUGUAGUCGAACUUGACGGAGCCAACGUCCUCAAGGGUAGUCAUGGUACUUGGGGUCUUCGGACUUGCCGGUCUCGGUUUUUGCGACGGUAGUGGUACAUGGCAAUGUUGGGGUACUUGUCGGUCCGGUUUUUGCGGUGUAGAUGUACACAUUGUCGGGGUACUUGUCACAUCACCGGGUGUAAUCGUACACGGGUCCUCGUCUUCAUGGUUCUUGGCGUCCUCACGGCCUUGACAGUGAAGAAACGGAACGCGGCGACAAAACGAGGGUGAGGCAGCAGAGGGCCACGGCUGCUGGUCAACGAAAGUUGCCGGAAGAGGAAGCAAACAAGGCGGCGCGAUCUCUGGCGAAUGGCAAUGCGGCGGCCUGAGGGGUCACCAGCACAAGCGAAAUGGUAGCGGGCAACGCUGCUGUCGAGAGAUGGAGGUCGGGGCCGGAGCUGAGCAACGCCAGCAGGGGCGGAUGGGCGCGAAGAGGCCGGGAGGAGCAGCGCUCGGCACCGGUUGACGCGGAGCAGGGGAGGCGGAGCUCCUGCUCGAAGAGGUGCGACGAGGAGAACCACGGGCACGAAGGAUGGCGGCGAGGACGAUGGAUCCGGGCGGCGGCCGCGGCUCGAGAGCCUCUCCCGAUCGGGACGAGGACGGCGAGGGCCGAGCGAGUAGGCGGCGUCAUGAGGGACACUGACGGCAGGGUCGCGCGCGAGGAAGGAGAGGCCGGGGCGGCGGCCAUGGCCUCGGCGAAGGGGUCGGGUGCGGGACUCCUGUGGGGCGGCGAUGCAACAGAGCGGCAGCUCGGGAGAAGACGAGAGGGAGAGGAUGAGGGGAUCGGGAUGAGUGGCCACGGGAGCGAGGGUAGGUAACAGCGCGAGGGGAGAAGUGGGGAUCGAGGGAGAGAGAUGCGAGCGCAAAGGAGGGAGAUGGAGGCGCUGCGGGAGGGAGAUGGGAUCGAGAGGAGGGUUCGCUAGGGGGUCGACUAGGGUUAGCAGGGGGAUCGGUGGGCCUCGGUGAUGGAUGGGCCGGCGAGAGGCCCAGCUGGGCUGGACUCUCUUCUCCCUCUCCCCUAUUUCCUUCUCUCUAAAUAACAGAGAAAUAAAGAGAAAGAAAAGAGAGAAGAGAAGGUUAGAGGAAGAAUUUGGGCAGGAGGACAACUUUUCCAGAGUCAUAAAAAUAUGAGGAAUUUGACAAAAAUGGCCUGACAAUUUUUGGAGGAAGUAAAAUCCACACACGUUGGAUUUAACUCGGUAAGUUCGAAUUUCGAAACUCAUUCAAACGAACUCCAAAUGGGUUGAAAUUAUAGGAGGUGACCCUACACAAUAUAUGUGAUUUAUGGGCAGAUUUGGGACAUUUAUGGGUAAAGUAAAAUUGCCACUCAAUUUUACUAAAAGGCCCCAAAGGAAGAAGGGGAAGUUGAGAAGGAUAAAAGGAAAUUUGAAGAACAGUGCAUAUGUGUUAUGGGUGAUUCCAAAAAUGGAAUAUUUAUAAUAUCUCUCUAAAUAUCGAGAGGAUAUGUUUCAAAGAGAAUCACCAUGUGAAUUCCCUCGAUUUAAAUGGACCGAAGAUCCAUACGGUUUAUUUAGAUGAGUUAUAAAAAGGGUUGGAUGAUGACAUGAUGCAAUGCAAAUGAUGCAAUGAUGAAUGCAUGACAUGAACAAAAAGCAAAACGAAGACAAAAACCCAACCACAAGGAAAUAACAUAUCACAUCUCUGGAAAAGGCAAGAGUUGGAGUUACGGAUAUGGAAAGUUGCAUCCGGGGCGUUACAACACUCCACUACUACGAGAGGAUCUCGUCCCGAGAUCUAGAAUGGCACCGGAGGGAAAACAGAAUUGAAAAAGAAAGGUAAAACUAAGUUGCUUCUUUGACAAACGAGUGAAACCACAAACCUUGAGAGGUUGAGCAAUUUAAAAGAAAGAGUACAAUAGAGAUGAACGAGAUUGCAAACAAUCCAUUAGAAAAGAGGAACAAGGAGUAUUACGAGAAUUUGAAGGUUGCAAAGACAUGAAUCAAGAGUUUAAUGGACAAUGUAGAAUUCGAAACCACUCCGGUUAAAACAAGAUGAGAGAGGAAGAAUUCGGGCAGCACUCUGGUUCAACAUGGAAGGAAUAGAACAUGAACUUGAGAAGAUGGGAUGAUACUUGAUGAAAUCAACAACACACUAUCUCUGGAACUAUUGAAAGAAUGACACAAGGGGUAAGAAAGAUUUUAGACAGCUCUCCAGUAGAGGAAGGAGGGAAAACUUGAUAAAAAUUAGAGAACUCGAAUGAAAACACGACACUCCAGUUAAAUGGAUAAGCACGAAAAAGAACGUGAUCUUGACAAAGUGAUCUGAUGGGUGAAGAGAGCAACAUCACAAAGCCUCCGGGAGAAAGAAUAGAAGAUCGGUCAUUGGAAUAACAGAAUGGUGGGGGAAAUGGCAACUUCUGCCACAAUUGAGCUUGGAAAGCAUCCUUGCAAGAAGGUUAGAAUAGAGUUGUUGGAAGACCAACAACGAAAAGAAUAAGUUUUUAGUGGGCUUAUGGAAACAUCUCAACAUUAUGAGGUGACAACCGGCCACUAACGGAAACAAUUGCUUGCUUGAGAUCGACGAAGAGAUGAACACUUCUUCCAUCAAGAUGGAAAAGAGAUAACUUGGGUCAUUAAUAAGCACCAAAAUAGCAACAUUCCUUAGGGAAGGCUUUAGGUGAAAUCUAUACCAAGAUAACUCCAAAGAAGAGAUUGGUGGAUUUAAAAUACCUCAUUCUUGACAACAUGAAACAUGAAACAUGAAUGAAACUGUCAAAAUGACAUAACACCACCUGAAAAGAUAAUGUCGAAAGAAUUGCACUUCGGAAUGCAAGAUGAAGAAUGCUUGAACUCCUCAAAACAAAACAUGUGUUGAGCACCAUGUUUAUUUUACAGUAAAGCUUGGCGGAUCUUAACUUCGAGAGAAAUCUUGAAGAACAAUUGAAGAAUGAAAGGAAUCCUUGAUGAACCACCAUGUAGAGCCUCAAAGAAGAACUCCGGUAAUAAAAGGAUGAUAAAAAGAAAGAGAAGUUGAAAACACAAGGUGAAUCCUUGCCAUGAUUUAGAUGGAUCUCCGUGAUAAUUAGAGCUUGGAACUCCGGGAAAAAAGAGAAGAUGAAACAAAUGAAACCGAGAAUUUAUUCAUCAUGAACAAACUCCGAAAGAAGGAAUUAAUCACUUGGAUGAAACAAGAAUAAGAAUUAUGUUAUGCGUAUCCUUCACCAAUUUAAAUUGAUGACAAGCAACGGAUUUGGCAUACUACUUAUUCUCGUAGAAAGGAUUAAAGAGAGAUAUAGCGCCAACUUGAGAAGGUCUUCAACGAACCACCGGUAGGAUUGGAACAACAAUUGAAUUGAUAUGAUGAACAAAGAAAGAGAACUCUUGAAUGAACCACCGUAAGAAUUGAAAAUGAACGUAGCAAAGGCACAAUGCACCGGGAAGAAUUGGAAAACGAAUGAAGAUACUUGAGGGUAUUUAGAUACAAAUGAACGAAUAGAUCACGAGCUGAUUAGAUAAUACUUGAAUGAUGCACCGGUAUGAUUUGGAGAACGAGAGCUGAAAGCUUGAAUGAAUAAUACUUAUGAUGGGCUCCGGAUGACAAACUGAGAAGACUCUUGAAUAUCUCCUGAUGGGUGAAAAAGAUUCUCACAAUCGAAAACAAUUAUGAGAGGAUGGCAACAAGCUAGCACCAUGAAUCUUGAAGAGAAUAGAGCAAGAUUAAAGAGAAACUCUUCUUCGGUCUUCAAAUGAUGAGAAUGACAACGAGAAGCACCACCAAGAAUUAUUGAGACACACCGGAAGAAUCAAAAGCGAAGAGGUUGAGCCAACUAUGAAAAGAAUUUGAAAGAUCUUGGAGAAAAGCAUUUGACUGAUGAUAACUCAUUCUUACGUCAAACUUGGAGAAGAAUUUAGGAUAGCUCUGGGAAAAUAGAAGAGUCAGGUAAGAUCCUGGGAAAAGACCUGUGGGUUAGGGCCCACUCAAAAGAAAACAUCGUUGAAAUGAUUUAAAAGAGAUGUUGCACCGGUUGAAUUAAAUGACUUGAAUGAGAUACCAAUCUCGAAAGAACUAGAACGAAUGCAGAGUGGAAACACGAAUCUUCGAGAUAUCUUGAGCACUCCGGAAUAACAAAUAGCGAGAAGUAGAAUGAUAAUGAGGUGCACUGGUAUGAGAAGACAUAGAAAUGAGGAAAAAGGUAUGACCAACAAAACUUGACUUGAAUCCACCGGAGAAGAGAAAGGAAUGAGGAAUGACGAACUAGAAGAACAUCUUCUUGAGAACCACCGGGUAAGAACAUUGACGGAAAAGAAUGGAGAAACUUCACAAAAUAAAAGGAUACUUGGUAAAGAAAUCUUAGUCCUUGAAGAAAAAGGGUGGGAGGGCGGGAAAACAAAGGCAACUUGGAGACGGAUGAAACAAACACCGUUGAGAAGAAAUGAUAAUUGGUCUUGCUGAUGUUGAAGUGAUCGGAUCCACUUGAAGAGAAACACGCCGGUUGAAAAGGAUUGACAUGACAAUCUCGAUUGUCGAGAAGGAUUGGUAUUCACAUUGGAGUAUGAGAACACCAUUUCGGAAAGGUAUGGAAUCAACACUCGACAUUGAAGCAACUCGAAUACCACAACUCAAAACAAAAACAAAGGACUGGCUUGCAGAAUAAGCCGGAACAAAUACAUAUGAUAGAGAUUUACCCAAUCCCAUAUCAUGCAUCUGUCGGAAAGAUAUUCUAGGAGCUACUUGAAUUCCCACCUAUGAAACUCCCGAAAUUUUCCGGUUAUGCAAUCAGGUGUUGGGGAUACAGGGGAAGCAUAAUAUAUCUCACCCAAACUAACAAUCCCUACAUCCAAGCUGUAUCCAUCCGUCGACACAUAACCAAGAAACCUUCGGAAAUCGUGUACCUCAACCUUCGAAAAGCAUCCGUUAUACGAGUCAUGGCAAUACUCCCAUACUCACCUCAGUACUGGGUUAUCGGGGUUAUCUCACCAACAACUGCAUAAAAGAGAUUUUCGAUGUCGGCGCACUAAACUCAGGUGUUCCAGAACUGCAACGAUAAAAUUAUGAUGACAACACCUCAGAGCUCAACUCCCCGGGACACCUCCACUAAAAAAAACCCUGCUGACGGGAGGCACCAAGACAAUGUUGUCAUCAUAAAACCAUCGGAACGAUUCUAAGAUACCCGCGUGAUCCUAAAUUUUUUUUAGUGAAAUUUGAGAAGAGAAGAGUCAAAACUUCUACGUCAGGAGACCUCACCAGAGCGACGAAGGGACUGAGGAGUAAAAAGAAUUCCUAACUCUCUGAUAUAUAUAAUCCUAAAUGACUCAAAACAUUUUUCUAGACACAACUCGGCCGCUAAAAACGAUCAAGCAGUGGGGCUCCUAAGGUCGGGGAUGGCUCUGAUUACCAACUUGUAACGCCCUCGAUGCGGCUAUAUCUCCCACGUGUCGAAGCACGACUUAGAGGCAUAACCGCAUUGAAAGCAAUGUCGCAAGUGAGGUAAUCUUCACACAACCCAUGUAAUACAUAAGGGAAAGAGAUACAUAGUUGGCUUACAAUCGCCACUUCACACAAUUACAUGAAUAAAGCAUUACAUCAUCCAGAUACAAUCAAGGUCCGACUACGGAACCAAAAUAAAAGAAGAACCCCAAUUGCCACAAAGGUCCCCGAUCGACCCCAACUGGGCUCCACUACUGAUCAACUGAAACGAAACAACACAAUGAACAAGAUCUUCAUCGAGCUCCUCCUUGAGCUUGGUUGCGUCACCUGCUCGGUAACAUAGGCACCUGCAAACUGGUUUUGGAAGUAUCUGUGAGCCAUGGGGACUCAGCAAUCUCGCACCCGCGAGAUCAAGACUAUUUAAGCUUAUGGGUAAGGUAAAGGCAUGAGGUGGAGCUGCAGCAAGCGACUAGCAUAUAUGGUGGUUAACAUACGCAAAUAUGAGAGAGAAGAGAAGGCAAAGCACGGUCGAUAAAAGUAUGAUCAAGAAGUGAUCCUAUAGCAACCUACGUCAAGCUUAACUCCAACACCGUGUUCACUUCCCGGACUCCGUCGGAAAGAGACCAUCACGGUUACACACACGGUUGAUGUAUUUUAAUUAAGGUCAACUUCGGGUUUUCUACAACCGGACAUUAACAAAUUCCCAUCUGCCACAUAACGGCGGGCACGGCUCUCGAAAGUUUAUACCCUGCAGGGGUGUCCCAACUUAGCCCAUGACAAGCUCUCGCGAUCAACGAAGGAAUAGACCUUCUCCCAGGAAGACCCGAUCAGGCUCGGAAUCCCGGUACAUCAAGACAUUUCGACAAUGGUAAAACAAGACCAGCAAGACCUCCCGCUGUGCCGACAAAUCCCGAUAGGAGCUGCACAUAUCUCGUUCUCAGGGCACACCGGAUGAGCUAGACGUCGGGUUGGCAUAGACCCUGGUUGCCCAGGGGGCGCCGGACAUCGCUCAGGUUGGACCAACACUCGAAGGAGCACUGGCUCGGGGGGCUAAAAUAAAGAUGACCCUUGGGCUCCGGAAACCCAAGGGAACAAAAAGGGGCUAGGUGAGGCAAAUGGUAAAACCAAGGUUGGGCCUUGCUGGACAAGUUUUAUUCAAAGCGAACUGUCAGGGGGGUCCCAUAAAUCACCCGACCGCGUAAGGAACGCAAAAUCCGGGAACAUAACACCGGUAUGACGAAAACUAGGGCGGCAAGAGUGGAACAAAACACCAGGCAUAAGGCCGAGCCUUCCACCCUUUUCCAAAUAUAUAGAUGCAUUAAUAAUAUAAGAGAUAUUGUGAUAUCCCAACAAGUAAACAUGUUCCAACAAGGAACAACAUCUCCAUGUUCCAACAAGGAACAAACUUCAAUCUUCACCUGCAACUAACAAUGCUAUAAGAGGGGCUGAGCAAAGUGGUAACAUAGCCAAACAACGGUUUGCUAGGAAUGGUGUCGAAGGUUAGAGGUUUGACAUGGCAAUUUGGGAGGCUGACAAGCAAAUGGUAGGCAUCGUAGCAUUGGCAUAGCAAAAGAGCGAGCAAACUAGCAUAGCGAAGAUAGUAGUGAUUUCGAGGGUAUGGUCAUCUUGCCUGAGAUCCCGCAAGGAAGAAGAACGAUUCCAAGAAGAAGACAAACGGUCGUAGACGAACGAACACUCACAACUUCGGAACGAAACCGAAGCUAACGAGAGAAGCAAACCGGAAAGAAGCAAACAAUAUGGUAUACACACAAGCAUAAACAUGUCAUGAUGCACAAACAAGUAUGAUGCAUGUCCGGUUUAAUGAGGCAUGGCAUGGCAAAGUGCACAAACAACACUACAAGUUAAGUGGAGCUCAAUAUGCAACGAGUUGCAUAUUGACGAAACACCACAUCAAUUAUUUAGUUCUCUCUCGGUUAUGAACACAACAAUAUUAAAUGUUGGUUAACAUGGCAAGUGGUGAAGCAUAACAAAAACUAUACCAUCUAAACAAUUUAAAUGGGGCCGGAUAUAAAAACAACAAAUCCGAUAAAUCCCCAUAUGCAUUUAGCAAUUUAAUGCAACAACAAGUUUAAACAUUUUAAUUGUUGUUAUCAUGAUGCGGAUGACAUAUACAAGUUUUAUGCAGUUUUAUGAAAACGUUGACAUGAGCAUGUUAUGAAGCAUUUGUCGCCAUGGCGGAACAAAAGGGGUGCCACGGCGGUGAAACGAAAAGGGUGCCACGGCGGCGAAACAAAAAGGGUGACACGGCAACAUAUCCGAAAAUGAUGCCACGGCAACAUAUCGGUUCCGGUAGCUCACGGAGAUAUCGGUGCAAAAGGAGGCGUGACGUGAGCGAGUCAUGCAAGAUGGUGGGGUGAUCCCGGCUACCGGGUUCCCACGUGACAGUGGCAUGGCAAAAGAGCGAGGAGCUUGCAAUGACAAUUCGGACACGGUGCACACACAAGCAUUCGUCCACGGUCGUCGUCUUGGCGGUUAUACCUUUGAAUCGUGCAUUAACGAAGCGGAUCAAGUUCGGCGAAGGAAGUAGUCGUUCUCGCGGCGGCGGUAGUGGAAGUAGUUGUACUCGGCCGUAGCGGAAGUAGACGUUCUCGCGACGGUAGUGGAAGUAGUGGUACACGGCGACGGUAGUUGUACACGUGUUGUAGUCGAACUUGACGGAGCCAACGUCCUCAAGGGUAGUCGUGGUACUUGGGGUCUUCGGACUUGCCGGUCUCGGUUCUUGCGAUGGUAGUGGUACAUGGCAACGUUGGGGUACUUGUCGGUCCGGUUUUUGCGGUGUAGAUGUACACAUUGUCGGGGUACUUGUCACAUCACCGGGUGUAAUCGUACACGGGUCCUCGUCUUCAUGGUUCUUGGCGUCCUCACGGCCUUGACAGUGAAGAAACGGAACGCGGCGACAAAACGAGGGUGAGGCAGCAGAGGGCCACGGCUGCUGGUCAACGAAAGUUGCCGGAAGAGGAAGCAAACAAGGCGGCGCGAUCUCUGGCGAAUGGCAACGCGGCGGCCUGAGGGGUCACCAGCACAAGCGAAAUGGCAGCGGGCAACGCUGCUGUCAAGAGAUGGAGGUCGGGGCCGGAGCUGAGCAACGCCAGCAGGGGCGGAUGAGCGCGAGGAGGCCGGGAGGAGCAGCGCUCGGCACCGGUUGACGCGGAGCAGGGGAGGCGGAGCUCCUGCUCGAAGAGGUGCGACGAGGGGAACCACGGGCACGAAGGAUGGCGGCGAGGACGAUGGAUCCGGGCGGCGGCCGCGGCUCGAGAGCCUCUCCCGAUCGGGACGAGGACGGCGAGGGCCGAGCGAGUAGGCGGCGUCACGAGGGACACUGACGGCAGGGUCGCGCGCGAGGAAGGAGAGGCCGGGGCGGCGGCCAUGGCCUCGGCGAAGGGGUCGGGUGCGGGACUCCUGUGGGGCGGCGAUGCAACAGAGCGGCAGCUCGAGAGAAGACGAGAGGGAGAGGAUGAGGGGAUUGGGAGGAGUGGCCAUGGGAGCGAGGGUAGGUAACGGCGCGAGGGGAGAAGUGGGGAUCGAGGGAGAGAGAUGCGAGCGCAAAGGAGGGAGAUGGAGGCGCUGCGGGAGGGAGAUGGGAUCGAGAGGAGGGUUCGCUAGGGGAUCGGCUAGGGUUAGCAGCGGGAUCGGUGGGCCUCGGUGAUGGAUGGGCCGGCGAGAGGCCCAGCUGGGCUGGACUCUCUUCUCCCUCUCCCCUAUUUCCUUCUCUCUAAAUAACAGAGAAAUAAAGAGAAAGAAAAGAGAGAAGAGAAGGUUAGAGGAAGAAUUUGGGCAGGAGGACAACUUUUCCAGAGUCAUAAAAAUAUGAGGAAUUUGACAAAAAUGGCCUGACAAUUUUUGGAGGAAGUAAAAUCCACACACGUUGGAUUUAACUCGGUAAGUUCGAAUUUCGAAACUCAUUCAAACGAACUCCAAAUGGGUUGAAAUUAUAGGAGGUGACCCUACACAAUAUAUGUGAUUUAUGGGCAGAUUUGGGACAUUUAUGGGUAAAGUAAAAUUGGCACUCAAUUUUACUAAAAGGCCCCAAAGGAAGAAGGGGAAGUUGAGAAGGAUAAAAGGAAAUUUGAAGAACAGUGCAUAUGUGUUAUGGGUGAUUCCGAAAAUGGAAUAUUUAUAAUAUCUCUCUAAAUAUCGAGACGAUAUGUUUCAAAGAGAAUCACCAUGUGAAUUCCCUCGAUUUAAAUGGACCGAAGAUCCAUACGGUUUAUUUAGAUGAGUUUUAAAAAGGGUUGGAUGAUGACAUGAUGCAAUGCAAAUGAUGCAAUGAUGAAUGCAUGACAUGAACAAAAAGCAAAACGAAGACAAAAACCCAACCACAAGGAAAUAACAUAUCACAUCUCCGGAAAAGGCAAGAGUUGGAGUUACGGAUAUGGAAAGUUGCAUCUGGGGCGUUACAAACACGCAAGCAAAUGACUUGGCAAUGACGGCGAAUAACUGGCGGACACCUGGCGCAUCGAAUCCGGGGCGUUACAUCCUGAGGCGGAACCAGCUGUGCCAUGAUGGCUGUGGAGGCAGCAUCAGGCACGGGCACCUCGGGAAUCGCCUGGGCCAUGGGGGCUGAGCUCGCCCCAGCAGGCUCAGCCAGGCCUCGCGAGGACGCCCGGGCAGGAGAGGCCAGUGUGUCGCAGUCACCUCCUUUCUCUGGCAGAGGCGCUGCCGCAGAGGGGGCCUCAGGAGCUCCCUUCGACUUCUUCACCGCGGGCGCCAGCCUAGCCGGAAGACACGGACAUCAAGCCUCAGCAACAGAACAAUAAUCAAGACAGGAAUCAAGCACUUACAGGUCGUCGCUUGCGGGCUCAAGCAGCCUCAGGCCAUACUUGAAGCCCGAGAGCCGGCUACUAGGAUCAGCUUCAAGGAGCGCAGGAGCAGGAGGUGCGCCCGUGGAUCGCCUCGGGGCUGGGGCAGACCCGCGGGGGAUCAUUCCGGUCCGGUCCUUCUUCGGGAUCGGAGGCAGGCUCCCGCCGCCAUGCUCAUCACCGUCCUCGUCAUCAUCACUCGGAGCAAGGCGGAGAGCGCGGGAGCUGCGCCGAAGGGGGGAGCCCUUGACUCCGCCUCAGAAUCAGCCCCCUCUUCCCACUCCUCUUCUUCUUCCUCUUCGCUGGAGUCACCGGAGGACACGUUCACCAGGUCCUAUGGAGCCUCCACGGGCACGGGCCCAUCCCCGUUGAAGACGGGCAUGGACCCCACUACCUGCUCCCAGUCCUCGCGGAGGAACAGGGGCGUAGGAGCGCCCUCUAGCCUCGCCACGUCGCCCCCAACCAAGGACUCGAGGACCGCACCUAGAUCCUCAUCGGCCAAGACCGCGGGGCUCGGGUGAGGCCUCCACAUCGGAAGUGAGUACUGACGAAGCAGAGCCAGCUGGUGCUCCAGGAAUUCCCUCAGCAGCGAUGCGCCGGUUAGCUUCGCCACUGCCACGCUGGCCGGCCUCAGAUCUGCGUCCAUCUUCUCCAGCACCGGCUUCGCGUGGGGAUCCAGAAGCUCCACUCGGGACUAGUCGUCGGAGCUCGUGGGGUGCUCCGUGGGCAGGAUCAGCCGAGGGUGGAUGCGCCCAGCAUCCGCCAAGAUCCACUUUCUCCUGAAGCCCUUAAUCCGUUUCCCGGGGUUCGAAAUGGCGAUAGAGCCGCCGUACGUGACAAAGCUCGCGCACGCGGAGGCGGAACCACGGGAGGUCCGGAGGGAGAAGUAGUGGCGCAACAAGGCCACCGAGGGUUUCACCCCUACGUGAGCCUCACAAUAGUAGGCAAAGAUCGCCAAAAGAAGGACGGAGUUGGAAUGGAGGUGCAGAGCUUGAAUAUUGUAGUGGUGGAGGACAGAGAAGAAGAACUCAGAAAAGGGAGGCACCAGACCGGCGAUAAUGGCGCUCACGAAGAGCGGAUAGAAGGUGCUCCCUUAGCCUUCAGGGAUGGCAGAGCCGUCCUUGAACACCUUCGCCCCGUCGAUGCCCUGCGCCCCCGCCAUAUGACGCAGCCGAGCAAGGCUCGCCUCCGACACGCUCGGCGAGUCCAAGGCAGACGAGUACCAAGCUCCGACCGGGGCUUGGCGAGGCGCCAUGUCUGGCUAGGGCACGCACGCAGGAGGAGAGGUGCAAGAAAGGGGAUCUGAGCAGCAACUGGAGAGAGCAAGGGAGGCAAGGGGCAGGUGCCGCUCCUUUACCAACUCGCGCAGUUGUGGAGGCGCACACGUCUAGUCAGCCGCCACACGGCGCCCAAGGCCGCAGGCUGUUAGGGCCCACGACGCUUUGCACUUGCCCUUUCGCCUCUCUGCCCGGCCAAGUUCGAGCGCGCCGUGGGCCCGGGGGCUACUGUCGGUGUUCUAGGAACGGGGGUCCCCAGACUUGCCUGCCUACAGCCUGCGGCGUGGCUCAAAGGGGCCCCAGCACAGCCCAUCUUCAUAAACACAAGCUCAAGACCCUCGCGAGGGGCCAAGCCUUGCAGGGCGGACAACAAGGAGCUUCCUCAGGCACGGCCUCGUCAGGAGGCGGAGAGUUCAAGGCGGGGUACCUCGCGAGGUGCCCAUGACGCAAGCCAUGACGACCAAGGGCGCCAGUCGGGCGCCAGCGUGCACAGUGUCCUCCCUUUCCUCUUUGGUGCAAAGGGAGCAAGCACAGGUGAGGGGAUCAAGCAAAGGCAUCCGUUUCGAUGCAACAAGACCAAGACCAGCCCAACGGCCGGAAGGAAGUCAUUGUGGAGCCCAAACAGGUGUCACCACCAGAGCCUUUGACAGGCGAGGACAAACUUUAGUCAGGAUAAGUGUACCCGCUGUUCCCCUUCAAAAUGGCCAAUUGUUGGCGCCCUUCCCUCUCAAUAUUUGGGAAGAGGCCCAGGGCCUUUGCCUAUAAAUAGGACUAGCCACCCCUGGGUAGAGGCAUCUGAUAUCGAGAGACCGGAUCAAGAAUCCAAGAGCCAGAACCAAGUAGCACCAGCCAAGAACAAACCCUCGCGAGGCUGUUCUUCCUUGUAUUGUGCAUCAUCAGCCCUAGAGGCAAUCCACCACAGCACACACUGGAGUAGGGUAUUACACCACAAUGGUGGUCUGAACCAGUAUAAAUCUUGUGUCUCUUGUGUCGUUCUGUUCAGUAGUUUAGGUCCUAGUGAUUAGGCGAAGAGCAAGUAGGCAGAGGGUUAAAUCUCCGCGCGCACCCCAGCGUUCGAACCUCAAGGGUCUGCCGGAACCCGAAAUCCGACACUAGUAAGCUCACAAGCAAAUGAAUGAUUCACUACAUCUAUGCUUGCCUUUUCAUACUUUUUGUCAAUAUUCUUUUAGGGUGGACCGCCCUGUUUCAAAAAUACUGGAACCGUAGACAUGAGUGAAUAGUAUUUCUCUGUGUGAUAUCUUCCAUCAUGUAUGGGCAACAAAUACUUCAUUAUAUAGAAAUAAAGUGUCAUUUCCAGCUUUUACAUAGGCUUCGAUAUUUUACAUGGAAUAUAGUCUGCCUACGUGCUUCGUGUCGCACUACCAACACUCCACCCUUGAAGCUAAACAUUAUGCCACUCAUAAUUCCUUAGUUUAUUUGUUCAAAUAUGAAUUUGAUAUGAUUCUAAUGUUCCUACUUCAAUUUUGAAAUGUGUUUCUGCCUGUUAUAGAGACAUACACUACAAAAAAAAGACACAUCCAUGACAUUUUCGGUCGAACGAAUUUUUUCCUGUCAUACUUAUGACACUUCUAUGACGAUAAUUGUGACAAAACCCGGUAUCAUAAUAGAUGUGGUGGGCUCCUACUUCUAUGAAAAAAAUCAUGGCAGAAAAUGAGCUUUUCGUCCUGGGCGGGCCGGAGACGCAGCUGCAUGACAUUCUUUGGGUCGUCCAUGAUGAAAAAAACCGUGGUAGAAGCGAGGGCGAGGAAAAUAUCGGGGUGUUUCCGGUUACGAUGGGUCGUCGGGGCCGAGCGAUGCACGGAGGUUUGCGUGUUUCUCUCGUACACGCACACGCGCGUGGGUGCGAGGCGUUGGGCUCUAACAGAACUUGAGCGAGGCAUUCGCCUACUUAACCUGAGCGAUUGCGCUAUAGGCUACACGUUACUGAACCCGCGCGAUCGAUCAAUGGCUGUUAACUAAACUCAAUCGAGCGAUUCCUUUGCUACUGCUACUAACUGAAGCUAAUCGAUGCUGUCUCUGGAUGAAUAGUGAGCAUUGUUGGGGGGUUUGGAUGAAUAGUUCCCGGUGGGGGUUGGAUGAACAGGACGCCAUGGUGUUGCCGCUGGAUGAACAUGACCCCGAUCGAUCGAGCCGGUUGGGCGUGGAUGAACAGGAACCCAUGGAGGGGUGGAUGAACAGGACCCUGUGGAGGGAAGGUUGAACAGUAGCUAGUGGAGGGCUGGUUGAACAGUAGCCGGUGGAGGGCUAGAUGAACAGUAGUCUGUGGAGGGGUGGUUGAAUAGGACCCCGUGGCGAGUGUUGGUUGAACAUUAGCCGGUGGAGGAGCGCGCGGUGGACGCUGGAUGAACAGGAGCCCGUGGAUGAACAGUCGCAGGUGGAGGUUGGAGGAGGUCAACGGUGGAUGAACAGUAGCCCAUGGAGGGAGGCUGCAGGAGGUCGACGGUGGAGAUGAACAGUACCCCGUGGAGUCCCGUUUUGCGGUACGCCACACCCCACCCGAUAAACAGGACCCCCGUUUAGACCGUAGCGCUCCAACACAAGUCUGUUUCCUCCGUUUUGCGGUACGCCACACCCCUGCUGAUCAACAGGACCCCGUUUCAACUGUAGGAGGUCCAACAGAAGUCCGUUUCCUCAAUUUUUCGGUACACCAGACCCCUCCCGAUGAAUAGGAUCCCAUUUCGACCGUGGCCGGUCAAACACAAGGUCGUUUCCUCUGUUUUGCGGUAUGCCAGGCCUCAUUCCAUUGGAUGUUCCAUCCUAGCCCUCCCGAGGAACAUGACGACGCAUUCCGUUCCGACCCAGCCGGUUGGCUCCCCAUGAACAAGACAACGACGCAGUUUCUCCGUUCCGACCCAGCCAUCUACACGAGCCCUGGCCGUACGUAUGCGCGAGUAGGCGUUCGAGACCCCACCCGUAUGUAUGUACGUGGCCAUAUUUUCUUUCUUGCACCCUGGCCGCUCUACGUAUGUGUACAUGCUACGUGCGCGCCUCUACUAUGACACGUGCCCUUACACGGCCACGGUUCAACGCUGCAGCCUGCAGACAGACCGAUCAUAUGUACGUACAUGUUCGCGACCAGAAUGACAACGCUACAUACGCUUCGACCAGGUGGGUCCCGACUGUCCGACACUUCCUUGCGUGCGAAGAUGUAGCUGGUGGGUCCCAGCAGUCUGGGGGCGAAUAAUUUUUUUACCGUAAUAUGGACGCACAUCCUUGCGUGAGAAGAUGUAGCUGGUGGGUCCCAGCAGUCAGGGGGGAAACGGUUUUUUCGCGAAUACAGUAGCCCGUCUGGUGGGUCCCUGCUAUCAGGUGGAGGAAUAAUUGUUUUGGGUGUAAUAAGGAGCCAAUUCCUUGCGGCUGCCGUGGACCCAGCUGUCAGCCUAUCAAUGUACAGUACUCUUCUGAUGGAAGUCAUUCCUUGACCACGUUGACCACCCUGCGCCGAGAGCACCAGGGCGGUGGACGACGGUGAGGCCUAGGAAGGGGACAAGGCAGAGCCGGGGAAGACGCGGCAGUGGAUGCCCACGCGUAGAGGAGUACGAGGGUUCACAGGUUCGGCUGCGGUGUGAGGCUGUCGUCGCCACAGAAUAAUAGGGGGUGAGGGUGAGUAGAGGGAUGGCCUGGCGAGCGGUGGGAGUAGUAGGGGGCGGUGAGGCCUCCGCGGCAUGACAGCCGGCCACGGGAGGCAGGAGCAUGCGGCACGACCGGCACUGGUUUGGGCUACUGGAGCAAGAAGACCAGAGGUUGAAGAAGCACUACGGCCGUUGGAUGGACAUCGUACGGUCACUGGAGCUAGAAUCGUUCAUAUUGACUAAGUUAACCAAGCUCUAUGCCUGUCAACUUAGUAGGCCCGCAAGUCAGCCUCCCACUAUGGUGGGUCCCAGCUAGCAGGGGGGUAUUCAUUUUUUUGUGCGUAAUAAGGAGGCACUUCCUUGCGUGCGAAGAUAUAGCUGGUGGGUCCGACCUGUCAGCGGGGGGAACAUUUUUUCGCAAAAUACAAAGGCCCUUCCGGUGGGUCCUAGCUGUCAGGUGGAGGAAUCAUUAUUUUGCGCGUAAUAAGGAGGCAUUUCCUUGCGUGCGGCUGUGGACCCAGCUUUGAGCCUCUCCACAUACAGUCCACUUCUGAUGGAUGUCGUUCAUUGAUCAUGUUGACCAGGCCGCGCCGAGAGCACCAGGUAUGUGGACGACAGCGAGGCCUAGGAAGGGAACGACACGGAGCCAGGGAAGACUCGACAGUUGUUUCCCACACGGAGGAGAGGACAAGGGUUUACUGGUUCAUCUGCCGUCCCCGGAGAAUAACAACAUGUGUGGGUGAGUAGAGGAAUGGCUAGGCCAGCGAUGGGAGUACGGUGGGGCGGUGAGGCCUGCGCGGCAGCAUAGCCAGCCGCGGGAGGAGGGAGCAGGCAAGAGCAAAGAUUGAAGAAGCACGACGGUCAUUGGAUGGACAUCCAACAAUCACUGCUCUCGUGUGUUGACUAAGUUGACACGGUGUUGCAUGUGCGUCAACCUUUUUUUAGGAAAGCAUACGCGUCAACCUGUAGUAGGCGCACAAGUCAGCCUCAAAUCUAUGGAAAACAUCAUACAACCCAUCUGCCAUUAUUUCUAAUAAUGUACAACCCAUUUGCUAAUUCUUAAGAUUUUUUUGGAUCCCAUCUUCUUUUUGUUAGCAUCACACCCCAUAUUAUGGCCACGGUUAAAAGUUAUACUAAAUGGUGCAUAUUUCGAUGCGGUCAACUGUUUUUAAUCCCGAAAUAUCGAUUCACAUUCGAACUAUUUUGAAAAAUAAAUUAUAUAAAUAUAAAAUCCAAAUAAUUGUCCACGCAUAAAAAUCAAUGGAUUUUACAAUCUUGUAAUAAAAAAAUUGAAACUAAUUCCUGGUUUGAUGUGUUUUAAAAAUGUAUAGCCAUUUCUGGGCAAACCGAAUGAAACUCUCCUCAUCUUGAAAGAUUUGUAGCCCAGCAGGGCUGAUAAAGCAAGUAGGCCUCGUUUGGGUAUUUCUUUAAAAAAUAGAACUGGGCUAGCCAUUUUCAGCAAGAAAAAAACACAACUGGGCUCAUGAUGUGGUAAACAUAAAUAAAACCCUGGCUAGAUGGGCCACAUCCCCCGCACAGCCCCGUUGUUACCCUGUUCCGUUGCUAAAACUGGUAUAAAUAACAACUGGUUGUUCCUCAAAAAAAAACUGCGCGACCUGCUGGGUCCCUGAUGUCAGCCGCUCGUAGUGUAAUUCUCUCGUUUAUUGACUACGUUGACAAUGGCGUGAGCCCCAGAUGUCCAACCAUUAGGAGGAACCAAUAUUUUGGGCUUGUAAUAGCGAGGCACUUGCUUGCGUAUUGCCAUGACGCUGGUGGGUCCCUACUAUCAUUCUCUCCACGUACAAUCAUCUCCUUGUUCCUCUCGGUUGUUGACGAUGUUGACAACACAAGAGGGUGGUGCACCGCUCACGGUGAGCGAACCAAGGCGGAGGACGACGGCGAGGCCUCGGAUGGAACGAACAGGAGCCGUGGAAGAUGCGCCAGUCGAGUCGCAGGCGGAGGGGAGUACGAGGGUUGACUGGUUCGGGUGCGGGUGCGUGUUGGGGCUGAUGUCGCCCGAGAAUAAUAGGACAUGUGGGGGAAUAGAGGGAGGGACUAGCCAACGUUGGAGGGUACGGUAGGGCGGAGGAGGCGCAACCAGCCAUGGGAGGCGGGAACAGGCCGAGCCAACGUGGUGGUUUGGUUUGGGCGGCUGGAGGAAGAAGAAGACAAGAGAUAAAAGAUACACGAUAGAUGUUGGAUGUCAAUCCAAUGGCUGAUAGGCAGAAUUGUUUGUUGACUGGCUAGUAAGUCGACACCACCUUGGAUAGGCUAUUUCCUCACGGGUCCCAAAUGUCAGAAUCCAAAUCUGUCACGGUCAUGCAACCUUUCCUAUGAAAUUUUACAGCCCAUUUGAUGUGCUAGUUCGAAAUAAGUUUGUGGGUGCUGGUGGGGUCUAAUCACUUGGCUUGUGUAAUGCACAGUGAGCUCAACUAGCCGGCGAGAGUGAUGUUAUUUCACUUGGUUGGGAUUUGUUACACUAUGUCACUCUAAAUUAAACGAAAGACAAGCGAUGGGCCUUGUUUCAAAGAAAAUAUGAUAGUCACAGCCGAGUUGAAAAGGGCAAGAACAUCUAACUCCUGCUUACAAACUGUACAAAAGCACGAGGGUUAAUUUAUCAUCAGGUUUACACGAAACCCAGGUUGAAAAGGGCAACAACAUCUAACUCCAGCACUGUUUUUGGCAGUCACAGUCAAAUGGAUCGGUCAGGUCCAUAGAAUGAACAUCCUGGGUCGUAAAAUUUACUAGAUUAUGACCACAAUAUGUUGUAAAUAGAAGCCCGACACGUUCAGAAGCUCUUUUGCCCACCUGAAACUCCUUUUUUUGCUCUUAGACAUACCCAUCCGUCAAAACCAUGUUGCUGAUAAACUUAAGCCUGAUGGACAAUAGUAACCACGCAUUCAGCAGGAAGAAUGUGACAAAUCUAGUGUUUGCACGAUUGGCUACAUAUCAUUCUAGCAUUAUUGUCUUCAAUCGAAUCUCAUGAGAAGUGAGAAAAUCCCGGUGCUUACGAAUCCACCGAUUGGUUAUAACUUUCUUACCCCGUCCUGUUGCCUAAAUAGGCAUGAAGAUUGAAAAUAUUUAAGGUCUAAAAAAAGAGUGUCGAAAGAGCAACAACUGAACGGAUAAUUCUAGUACACUAUAUGCGGUCUUCCAAUGUGCGUGAAAUUAUCACCUUUAUAUACAACUUCUCCAGACAUGGAAAGCAUUGCAGCAAGCCAAUAAUCUUGUUCAGAUCAAAACUAUUCAGUUGUAUAUAUAAGAUCUUUACAGAAUCCAACACCAUUGAUAGGCCAUCCAUGGAGAAACUCUUCAUUGAUCAUAGAACAUAAUAUUAGUACAAAAUGUGUACUCCAAGAUGAUAUAUAUAACUUAUGCGCAGAAAUUUAAAAUGCAGCUUAUGGUUACAAGUGUAGAUGAUAAUAUAAAGUACCUGAAGAAUUGUGGAGCCAAACACCAUAUUGAAAUGAGCACAGAGAUCAUGUAUUACACCCAGGGUCUCUAGUUUAGGCGCAGAGAGGACGGUUAUUUGCAAUGGUGAAUAACUAGAAUCAAGGAUCAACCUUUGAAGUGAAGGGGCAUCUUGGAUAAUGAGCUGCCUUCCGUCAAAAGAUAUUCCAAUUCUUACAAGGUUAGGCGACUUUAUUUGGAGACAACCGAUUCUAACUGUGAAAACAAGCACCAAGCACUCCAGGGCAGGGCAACUGGAGUGGAUGAUGCUGUGCAAUGAGGCCUCCGAUAUACGAGCCCGCACAAGUGAAAGUUUCUUGACAAAUGGGAGUCGAAGGUUUAGUACCAGAUUGUCUGGUAGGUAGCACAGUGCAAAGGUGGCAGUGUGGAGAGAGGAGGAAAACCGCGAGAUGGACAUCGGUGCUGAGGGCACAAGUACAUGGAGUUCGGUAUGUGGUAGGUGAUUUCCAGGGGAAUAGUAGAACUCAAGCAGUUGUAGUUUUGUGAAUUCAGGGGAUUUCAGCCAGGCGACCACCAUGCGGGGCAUGGUAUGCUUGCUCAGGUAGCAUGACGGGAUGCAGCGGCUUUGAACGGAGCCCUGGUGGGAGGAGAUGAUGGCUCUGUGGAUUUUGUAAUCAUUGAAGAGAGAUAGCUGACGACAGUCAAGAUUAAGGGGCAUAGCGCGCCAUAGAGGGCGCCACCGAAGUGAGAGGACUUCAGUGCGACAGCAUUCCUUGGUGGGGAGAAACGAGAUGAUCUGCCCUAGGACGGCAUCCGGGAGAUCCCUGAUGCGGUCAACCCGAGAUUCUACGGGUUCCUGGGAUCCGGUGGGGGCGGGGUUGCCGCUUCUCCCCGCGCUGCCGGGUGCGGGAUCUACAACAAGCGUCGCCGCUGGCGGGAGCCUCAUCUUCUUGGCGUUAGGGUCAGCCGACUCCAUUUUCCUCGAGGGCGUCGUGUCACGCUCACGGAUUUGAGCAGAGUAACGAAUGACGAGCCUAGUUGUAGUGCCAGUGAAGAAGAAGGGGAGCUGGGGGUUUUCUAUAGUAGUGAGGAAGAAGGGGAGCUGGGGUUUUCUGUAGGAGUGAGGUGAGGAAUUUGGGGGUACGAGUGGAGCGAGCUGACGUGUGGUGGGUGGGAGUGAGGAGGAAGAAGAGCACCCAGGUUUUUUGGGGGGCGGUGUGCUGGGUGUGCGUAGCGCCUCCCAUUCAGUAAAUAUAUGGUCUUUUGAAUUGAUUUUACUUUUUACUAGGGUGGAUGGGCUGUUUUGUCUUGGGCCCAGAGAAACAAUUACUACUAGUACAAUGGAGACAAUCUACAUCUACCCAGAAAAACAAUUACUACUAGUACAGUGGAUACAAUACCGUUUUUGGCUCCUCAUAGGUUAUCGAAACGUCUCCCUCUACUGAAUGCCAUUUUACUUUUGUUCACCGACAUGCGGGCCAUGCAGCGUGUGGACCCAAAUGCCAUCCACCAAAUUAGAAGGCAGUAUGCAGGUGGAGAGUUACCCCGGUCGUAGGUGGCAGUAACGAGCCGUCGUAUCACAAAACCCCACCUCCACUACAAACAAAAUACACUUUCGUGAUGAUACGUGUUUGUCAUAGUAGGUCGCGUUACUUGUCAUGCAUGUACAUCCAUGACGAUUUUAUGACAGAAUCAAGAUAGUCAUACCUGUGCUGUCGUAGAAGUGUUCCAUGACAUUACCAAAAUUAUCAUCACGGAAGUGUCUAGUUCCAUGACGAUAAAUCGCGUGUCACAGAAGUGCUUUCGUCAAGGGUGACCAACACGUGACAUCCACUGUAAAAGAACGCCGUUAAGCUAUCGGGUCCGGUUUUGGAUCCGAUAACCCAUUAACAGCCCCGACCAAUGGGGAUUUUCCACGUGUAAAAUCAUCAAUGGCUGGAGGAAACACGUGUCUGCUCACCGUUGGGACAGAUGUCAUCCACUCAUUGGACCGAAGGCGCCUAUGAUAUGUCAACACGUGGCACGGCCCAACAGAGGCCCAUUCCUAUGAAAAGGCCGGCCCGUUUCACUUGGUCAAAAGGUGGCGGGCCGGCCCACGGAAAGCCUGGCAUGUUUGCAUAUCGCCCAUUUACAGCCCGCUAACCCAGGGCCCGUUACGACUAAUUCAAAUUAGGCCCAGUAGCAUCAUCUGGACCGUCCAAUAUGAUUCCAGCCCAUUUUAAGUUCCGGACCAUGUAUGGCCCAUGACAUCUUUCGGCCCAUAUGAGGCCCUUUGUAAAUGUUGGCCCAUUAAAGGCCCAUGGUGAAACUGGCCCGUAAUGAACAGUGUAUCACUUUAUAGCAAUUAACAGCCCAUUAAUCCAUUGGGCCGUUUGCAGCCCAUGUUAUCUUUUGGCCUUCUCAGGGCCCAUUUAUUCAUGGGCUCGUUUCUAACAUUCGGUUACUUACGACCCGUUACUGUCAUUUUCUGCUUGUGGGCCAAAUUCAGCCUGUGGUUACAGUCAGCCCGUUUGUUGGCCAUUAAUACGUUGGGCCAUUUUCAUAGCAUCAUCAAAUAUGGCCUAUUAAUGAUGGCCCAUUAUGGUCGGCCGAUGAAUGGACGAUUCCAACUCUAGCCCGUUUACGACCAUGAUGCAGUCUGUUAUUGGCCCAUGUUUGGCCAAUCGAUCAUACGGCCCGUAUAAGGCCCAUUGAUGAUAUGACCCAUAGAAGGCCCAUUGUUUCUACGACCCGUAGGAGGCCCAGUGUCACUACAGUAAAUAUGUAGCCCAUGGUUAUUUUGGCCUAGUUUUAAAAAAUAGGUUAUUGCAGCCACUAGCGAACUGCGGAAAAAGAACUGCACUGACUACAAGCAAACAAAUAAUCAAGACAACAAGGAAAUAAAUAAGCAAGCAACUUACCCUAGGCUAUCACGGCUAUUACACAUAUUACAUCCACUGGGCAUCAAAGUUCGCCACCAGUGCAAAUAAACGCGCCGUCAAAACAAUAUACAAAACUGAGAGCACUUCAGAAGGCACUUGACCUGGCCAGGUCGGGCCCCCCAAACAGCUGAAGAAGCUGAGUAGACCUCAGUUGUGUCAACGAUAGAUGCAUCACCCAUAGAUGUAUGGCAUGAUGGUGCGCGAGGCAGUCCUGUGACAUCUUCAUUGCAUCUUUGACUUCAAGUCGGAGCUGAGCUGAAGCAAGCCUUUCCGCUUUAAGUUGAGACUGAAGAAGUCGAACUGAUUGAGGCAGCGACUGCACAGAGGUUGUCUCACACCUUCUAGUGAGUAGCUUCAACUCACUGUCUUCAUCAAGAGAGGACCUUGGGGCCAUCUCGCUGUCCUCAAGAUGGCUUGGCUCACUAUCUUCCCUAAAGUUCUGCCUGGCAUAAGAGAUACGACUCUGAAAGAGAAACAAGGAGACACGUAACAUGUUUCACAAUUAUAUAAGCAAAUAAAUGGAUCUGUUCUGCAUAAUGAACAUGUUUUUACAACUACAAAUUGAAACUGGUAGUUGUUGCAAACAUCCAAUCAGAUGUAAACAGCAAAGCAAACAGCAGUGGAGGAAAUGAUGCCUAUCCAAAUCUAUACCAGAACAAAGUUUGGAGGCUUGAGAAGGAUGAACUUACAUUACAUGUUAACUUGGGCUGGACAAAGCCCUUCUCCAUGUUGAUGGAAGGAUAAUUCAAUAAAUUCCCCAAAGAAAAUUCUUUACAAGCGUUGCCAUUAUUCUACAUUUUGCAAAGAGUAAAUAUAGCUAAAAUAAUAUUGGAAGAAACAGAGGAUAAUGAAGCUCAGGUGCAGACUGAUGAUACAUAAUCAAAUAGCAAUUAAUUAAGUACAGUGUUACAAGGCAAAAGGGAGAGAGGUACUGACAAGAGCAAUGUAGAGCCCAGUAUUGUUGUGAGAUCGUAUGAUCCUUUGAGCAAGGAGAUUCACCUGAAAUUAGUUUUCAUACAAGAGAGAAGGUAAGGCACAUGCAGAAAUUUAGGACUUCAAAUUUGAAUUGAUAUCAUAGACAGUACCUGACGCUGGGCUCUCAGCAGUUCUAAUAGGGGUUUGGCCAAUGGAGUAGGGGUAAAGUGUGGUACAGUUGGGCCUGUGUUUUCUAUGGCUGCUGAUCUAUCUGAUUUAACAAGUAUCACUAGCUUUUCCAAAUACCUAGUUUGUACUCCUUGAGGAUCUGCACUCACCCUCUUCCUUUUGGACAUCUAUUACGAAAGAACAACAUUUCACUGGAAAAACAUAGUGUGAUGACACAUGGAAUAGGUACAUAAAAUGGAUAGGUAUGGCAUAUACUCAUAUAUGAUGCUUAAACUAAGAAGAUGGUGUAACAAAGUAGAAGUAAUGCAAGAGGUCAGAUGCAAAAUAUGUGCGACCAAUACAACCUUGCCAAGUUAGAGCAAGCACCUUGAUGGGUGAAUAAGAUAGGCCAUCCUCCACCAUGCCAAGUUUGUUAGCCAGUGGAUUGUUCCGCAAUAUUCCUCUCGUGCACCCAUUCUCAUAUUCAUUUUGAUAAUGUUCAAUAUCUGACAUGCAUGAAAACAUAAAACCAAGUGAGAUUUUCUUUGUAAUGCAGAAGUGAUUCCAAUCCAAUACUGCCUCCCUGUAAACCCCUUUGUGCUAUCUCUGCAAUUCUUUUAAGAGAUGCCAUGCAUGCCGUAAUUUGGUGUGUGCAUUAAUAUAAUGUGGCCUACUACUCAAAAUAUGAGAGCUCCAGAAGUGAUGACACUUUGCAGAUGACAGCUUCAACAUAUAGUAAAGAAGAACAAGUCGACCUGACCGGACAGAUUCAAAAUAUACUAAGGGAGAACAACUCGACCUGAGCAGUCGACCACAAGAGAAGAGGAUCAUCUUAAAGAAGAGCAUAAGAGCAAGCAGAUUGAAGAUAUUACAAGUCUUUCAAUACAAUGUCGGUUGGCCACCCAUGAUGAACCAGAGCGCACAGAUAAAUACUAUUCUUUCCGGUCUCUCCAUAUGUGGCUCACAUGCAUUUCGAAACUAAAGUAGGAACAUUUAGCUAACCAAUUAAACAUCUCUCAGUUUUAUAAUAUCAGCAUAAUAUCAUAUAUGAAUUUGUACAACUAAGCUUGUUUAGCUCGAUGGGUGGAGCAGUGCUAUUACGACACGAACCACGUAGGCCGAUUGUGGUCAUCAUAAAAUGGGGAAAUCAUAAGCAUGAUGAGUACAGUGUUGACCGUGGCAGUGGGAUGGCAGAUAUGAAGCUGCAAACGGCGCAAAGGGUAGUUAGCAACCGAUGUUUGCUUUGAAAUAACAACUAAGAUUUGGUAUGGACAAGAAAGUACAGUCAACAAGUGACAAAGAAAUGCAAUUAUGAUGUCUCUCUAUAUGUCGCGACAUGCAUUUGGAAACUCAAGUGGGACCUUUAGCUAACCAAUUAAAUGUGUUGUUAACUAAUAUCAGUAUCAUAUGACAAUCAUAUUUGAACAACUAAGCUUUCGAAUUCUGAGAGUUGUGUUGUUUAGCUUGAAGGGUGGAGUAAUGCUAGUACGAUAGAAAGCACCUACGCAUAUCAUAGUAGAGUAGAUAAAAGGGGAAAAUCCUAAGCAUCAAGAGAAAAAUCAAGAAAGUGGAACUAGCUGGACCAGUGGGUGGCACACAUGAUUUUCAAAAUGAAUAUAGGAACAUUAGGUGACCAAUUAAAUGUUCUCUAUUUUAGUGAUAUGAGCAUCAUAUGAGAUUCGUAUUUCAACACGUAAGCUUUGUGUUGAGGUCUUGAGUAGCAGUGCUAGCACGACACAAAGCACCUACGAUGAUGGUAGUGAAUAUAAAGGGGGAAACAAUAAGCUUUACGAGUAUAGUGCCCGUGCCAUGGCAGAUCUGAAGGUGCAAACCGGACAAAGCUACUUCGCAAACAAUGCUUGCUUUCAACUAGCCACUACGAUUUGGUACGGACAAGAGAAGUACAAUAAACAAAUUACGAUAUAUUUUCCGGGUGAGAUCAAUAACUUAAGCACAUAUGGAAGAGUACCACCUCUCUUGCGACACCGUGUAGGCCUCUGCUCAUACGUUGAGGGUGCUGCGGGUGCGAUGGCUAUCAGCGGCGGGGAAGAAGACUUUAGAUGGCAGACGGCCGGGUCGUGGGAUAAAUCCUGUUGCCGUGGACGAGGAGGUCAUAGGAGCGACAACGACAAGGUGGACGACGACACCGAUGAAGCGAGAGGACGCGAUGAAAGAAUCCUGGUCCAGCGCCGUGGAUGAGAGACGUCCAUCUCUUGCAGUGGACGACAGGGUAGGGGUAGCGGCUCCGACAAGGUGGAGGAUGGGGUGGCAGACAGAGGAGGCUAGCCGCAGUGGGGAGGUUGUUGUGCCGCCGAUAGUGUAUGAAUGGGGAAAUGGAGGGGAGGGGGGAUCUCAAACUUUGCGACGUGCUUCUUUGAAAUGUGGGAAAGUUACGAACUUUUCCCCCGUUUAACAUUUCGGAUAUCGCGUCGGUUGGGGAUAGGACGGUAAUCUCACAUCUCCCAAAUAUUUGCGAGUAACUAUUUUGGGCGAGGAGAGGGUGUUUUGCCGCCCACGGUUGGCGCCCAUGGCGUAUGAACGGGGCUGACAGGUAGGGCGGUUGUGUCACGUCUGAGGGAAGUUACACAUCUGCCCCUAUUUAAAAUAUUAGCUGAUACGUCUCCAAUGUAUCUAUAAUUUUUUAUUGUUCCAUGCUAUUAUAUUACCCCUUUUGGAUGUUUAUGGGCUUUAUUUUACACAUUUAUAUCAGGACUAACCUAGUAACCAGAGGCCCAGCCCGUAUUGCUGUUUUUUUGCCUAUUUCAGUAUUUCGAAGAAAAGGAAUAUCAAACGGAGUCCAAACGGAAUGAAACUUUCGGGAGCGUGAUUUUUGGAACGAAUGUGAUCCAGAGGAUUUGGAGUGCAAGUCAAGAAGCAAUCAAGGCGGCCAGGAGAUAGGAGGGCACCCACCCACUCUAGGUGCACCCUAUCUCCUGGGCCCCACAGGCGGCCACCGAUGUACUUCUCCCUCCUAUAUACCCACGUACCCCGAAAACAUCCAGGAAGCCAAUGAAAAACAAUUUCCACCGCCGUAACCUUCUGUAUCCGCAAGAUCCCAUCUUGGAGCCUUUGUCGGCGCUCCGCCGGAGGGGGAAUCGACCACGAAGGGCUUCUACAUCAACACCAUAGCCCCUCCGAUGAGUUGUGAGUAGUUUACCAUAGACCUUCGGGUCCAUAGUUAUUAGCUAGAUGGCUUCUUCUCUCUUUUUGGAUCUCAAUACAAAGUUCUCCCCCUCUCUUAUGGAGAUCUAUUCCAUGUAAACUCUUUUUGCAGUGUAUUUGUCGAGAUCCGAUGAAUUGUGGGUUUAUGAUCAAGUUUAUCUAUGAGAAAUAUUUGAAUCUUCUCUGAAUUCUUUUAUGUAUGAUUGAGUUAUCUUUGCAAAUCUCUUUGAAUUAUCAGUUUGGUUUGGCCUACUAGAUUGAUGUUUCUUGCCAUGGGAGAAGUGCUUAGCUUUGGGUUCAAUCUUGCAGUGUCCUUACCCAGUGACAGCAGGGGUUGCAAGGCACGUAUUGUAUUGUUGCCAUUGAGGAUAAAAAGAGGGGGUUUAUAUCAUAUUGCUUGAGUUUAUCCCUCUACAUCAUGUCAUCUUUUUUAAUGCAUUACUCUGUUCCUAUUAACUUAAUACUCUAGAUGCAUGCUGGAUACGGGUCGAUGUGUGGAGCAAUAGUAGUAGAUGCAGGCAGGAGUCGGUCUAGUUGUCACGGACGUGAUUCCUAUAUACAUGAUCAUGCCUAGAUAAUCUCAUAAUUAUUCGCUUUUCUAUCAAUUGCUCGAUAGUAAUUUGUUCACCCACCGUAAUACUUAUGCUAUCUUGAGAGAAGCCUCUAGUGAAACCUAUGGCCCCCGGGUUUAUCUUUUAUCAUAUAAGCUUUCAAUCUAUUUUUAUUUGCAUCUUUACUUUUUGCAUCUAUAUUAUAAAAUACCAAAAAUAUAUUUAUCUUAUCAUACUAUCUCUAUCAGAUCUCAGUUUCGCAAGUGGCCGUGAAGGGAUUGACAAACCCUUUAUUGCGUUGGUUGCGAGUUCUUUGUUUGUUUGUGUAGGUGCGUGGGACUUUUGAGGAGCCUCCUACUGGAUUGAUACCUUGGUUCUCAAAAACCGAGGGAAAUACUUACACUACUAUUGCUGCAUCACCUUUUCCUAUUCAAGGAAAACCAACGCAAGCUCAAGACGUAGCAAGAAGGAUUUCUGGCGCCGUUGCCGGGGAGGUCUUCGCUCAAGUCAAGACAUACCAAGUACCUAUCACAAACUCAUCUCCCUCGCAUUUACAUUAUUUUCCAUUUGCCUCUAGUUUUCCUCUCCCCCACUUCACCCUUGCCGUUUUAUUCGCCCUCUCUUUCCCAAUCUUCUCCUCUCUCUUUCGCUUGCUUUUUUCAUUUUGCUUGUGUGUUGGAUUACUUGUUGCCAUGGCGCAAGAUAAUACCAAAUUGUGUGAUUUCUCCAAUACCAAUAAUAAUGAUUUCCUUAGUACUCCGAUUGCUCCUCUUAAUGAUGUUGAGUCUUGUGAAAUCAAUACUGCUUUGCUGAAUCUUGUUAUGAAAGAUCAAUUCGCCGGCCUUCCUAGCGAAGAUGCCGCUACUCAUCUAAACAACUUUGUUGAUUUGUGUGAUAUGCAAAAGAAGAAAGAUACGGAUAACAAUGUUGUUAAAUUGAAGUUAUUUCCAUUUUCACUUAGAGAUCGUGCUAAAGUUUGGUUUUCGUCUUUGCCUAAAAAUAGUAUUGAUUCUUGGAACAAGUGCAAAGAUGCUUUUAUCUCUAAAUAUUUUCCUCCCGCUAAGAUCAUCACUCUUAGGAACGAGAUUAUGAAUUUUAAACAACUUGAUCAUGAGCAUGUUGCCCAAUCUUGGGAAAGAAUGAAAUUGACGAUUCACAAUUGCCCUACUCAUGGUUUGAAUUUAUGGAUGAUCAUACAAAAAUUUAUGUCGGUGUGAACUUUGCUUCUAGAAAUGUUUUAGGUUCGGCCGCGGGAGGCACAUUUAUGGAAAUCACGUUAGGAGAUGCUACAAGACUUCUUGAUAAUAUUAUGGCUAAUUAUUCUCAAUGGCACACCGAAAGAUCUUCUAGUAAAAAAGUGCAUGCUAUAGAAGAAAUCAAUGUUUUGAGUGGAAAGAUGGAUGAACUUAUGAAGUUGUUUGCUACUAAAAAUACUCCUCUUGAUCCCAAUGAUAUGCCUUUGUCUACUUUGAUUGAGAAUAAUAAUGAAUCUAUGGAUGUGAAUUUUGUUGGUAGGAAUAGUUUUGGAAACAAUGCUUAUAGAGGAAACUUUAAUUCUAGACCGUUCCCUAGUAAUUCCUCUAAUAAUUAUGGAAAUUCCUACAAUAAUUCCUAUGGUAGUUUUAAUAAGAUGCCCUCUGAUUUUGAGAAUAGUGUGAAAGAAUUUAUGAUUUCUCAAAAGAAUUUUAAUGCUUUGCUUGAAGUAAAAUUGCUCAAAGUUGAUAAUUUGGCUAGGAACUUUGAUAGAUUUUCGCUUGAUGUUGAUUCUCUUAAACUUAGAUAUACUCCUCCUAAGCAUGAUAUCAAUGAGUCUCUCAAAGCCAUGAGAAUUUCCAUUGAUGAGUGCAAGGAAAGAACCGCUAGAUUGCGUGCUAAGAAAGAUUGCUUUGUAAAGGCGUGUUCUUCUAGUUUCAAUGAACAUAAUGAUGAAGAUCUUAAAGUUAUUGAUGUGUCUCCUAUUAGAUCUUUGUUUUGCAAUAUGAAGCUUAAUAAUGGGACUGGAGAUGAGUCAACUUUAGUUAGAAGGCAUCCCAAUAAUUUGGAGUUUUUAGAUCUUGAUGCUAAAUUUGGUAAAAGUGGGAUUGGAGAGGUCAUGACUUUAAAUAGCAUUGAACCCACUAUCUCGGAUUUCAAGGAAUUUGAUUAUGAUAAUUGUUCUUUAGAAGGUUGUAUUUCCUUGUUACAAUCCGUUGUUAAUUCUCCUCAUGCUUAUAGUCAAAAUAAAGCUUUUACCAAACAUAUCGUUGAUGCCUUGAUGCAAUCUUAUGAUGAAAAACUUAAUUUGGAGGUUUCUAUACCUAGAAAACUUAAUGAUGAGUGGGAACCUACUAUAAAGAUUAAAAUUAAAGAUCAUGAGUGUUUUGCUUUGUGUGAUUUGGGCGCUAGUGUUUCCACGAUUCCAAAAACUUUAUGUGAUAUUCUAGGUUUCCAUGAUCUUGAUGAUUGCUCUUUAAAUUUGCACCUUGCGGAUUCCACCAUUAAAAAGCCAAUGGGAAGGAUCAAUGAUUUUCUCAUUGUUGCAAAUAGAAAUUUGGUGCCCGUAGAUUUUAUCGUUCUUGAUAUAGAUUGCAAUCUUUCUUGUCCUAUUAUUCUUGGUAGACCUUUCCUUAGAACGAUUGGUGCGAUUAUGUAUAUGAAGGAAGGGAAUAUUAGAUUCCAAUUUCGAUUAAAGAAAGGCAUGGAGAACUUUCCAAAAAGAAAGUCAAAUUACCUUAUGAAUCUAUCAUGCGAGCUACUUAUGAAUCGAGUGCCAAAGAUGGCACUACUUAGAUCUAUCUUCGCUUUUAUGCCUCGCUAGGGGCGUUAAAUGAUAGCGCUAGUUGGGAGGCAACCCAAUUUUAUUUGUGUUUUUUGUUUCUGUUUCUGUUUAGUAAUAAAUUUUGCAUCUACCUUCUGUUUAGAUGUGUUGUAAUGUUUUAAUUAGUGUCUUUGCCAAGUAGAACCUAUAGGAUAACCUAUGGUGAUCGUUAAUUUGAUUCUCCUGAAAAACAAAAACUUUGCACGAACGAAAUUAGUUUUGUUAAAUCACAGAAACGUGAUUUAGCGUUGAUUAUUUUUGCUUCUGAACAAUAUUCAAAUUUUCCGGGACUUCCUAUUUUGGUAGGAUUUUUAGAGUUCCAGAAGUUUGCGUUAGUUACAGAUUGCUACAGACUGUUCUGUUUUUGACAGAUUCUGUUUUUCGUGUGUUGUUUGCUUAUUUUGAUGCAUCUACGGCUAGUAAAAUAGUUUGUAAACCAUAGAGAAGUUGGAAUACAGUAGGUUUAACACCAAAAUAAAUAAAUAAUGAGUUCAUUACAGUACCUUAUGUGGUGGUUUCGUUUUCUUUCACUAACGGAGCUUAUAAGAUUUCCUGUUGAGUUUUGUGUUGUGAAGUUUUCAAGUUUUGGGUAAAGAUUUGAUGGACUAUGGAAUAAGGAGUGGCAAAAGCCUAAGCUUGGGGAUGGCCAUGGCACCCCAUGAUAUUCAAGAGUAGCCAAGAGCCUAAGCUUGGGGAUGCCCCGGGAAGGCGUCCCCUCUUUCGUCUUCGUUCAUUGGUAACUUUACUUGAGCUAUACUUUUAUUCGCCACAUGAUAUGUGUUUUGCUUGGAGAAUCGUGUAUGAUAUUAGUCUUUGCUUUUUAGUUUUCCACAAUCAUCCUUGCUGUACACACCUUUUUUGAGAAUCCCACUUGGUUAGAACUUAUUAGAAUACUCUAUGUGCUUCACUUAUAUCUUUUGAGCCUGAUAGUUUUUGCUCUAGUGCUUCACUUAUAUCUUUUAGAGCAUGGCGGUGGCUUAAUUUUGUUGAAAUUGCUAGUCUCUCAUGCUUCACUUAUAUUAUUUUGAGAGUCUUUUAGAACAGCACGGUAUUUGCUAUGGUUAUAAAAUUGGUCCUAGAAUGGUAGGCAUCCAAGUUGGGUAUAAUAAAAACUAUCAUAGGAAGUGAAUUGGAUGCUAUGAUCAAUUUGAUACUUGAUAGUUGUUUUGAGAUAUGGAGGUAGUGAUAUUAAAGUCAUGCUAGUUGGGUGAUUAUGAAUUUAAGGAAUUCUUGUGUUGAAGUUAGCAAGUCCCGUAGCAUGCACGUAUGGUUAAAGUUGUGUAACAAAUUUGAAACAUGAAGUGUAUUUGGAUUGUGCAUCCUUAUGAGUGGCGGUCAGGGACGAGCGAUGGUCUUUUCCUACCAAUCUAUCCCUCUAGGAGCAUGCGCAUAGUGCUUGAUUUUUGAUGACUUCUAAAUUUUUGCAAUAAGUAUAUGAGUUCUUUUGACUAAUGUUGAGUCCAUGGAUUAUACGCACUUUUACCUUUCCACCAUUGCUAGCCUCUUCAAUACCGUGCAUUGCCCUUUCUCACCUUGAGAGUUGGUGCAAACUUCGCCGGUGCAUCCAAACCCCGUGAUAUGAUACGUUCUAUCACACAUAAACUUCCUUAUAUCUUCCUCAAAAAAGCCACCAUACCUACCUAUUAUGGCAUUUCCAUAGCCAUUCUGAGAUAUAUUGCUAUGCAACUUUCCACCGCUCCGUUCAUCAUCAUGACAUACAUUACUUUUGUCAUAUUGCCAUUGCAUGAUCAUGUAGUUGACAUCGUAUUUGUGGUAAAGCCACCGUGCAUAAUUUUUCAUACAUGUCACUCUUGAUUCAUUGCACCAUCCCGGUAUACCGCCGGAGGCAUUCAUAUAGAGUCAUAUCUUGUUCUAGUUUCGAGUUGUAAUUCAUGUAUUGUAAUCAAUAAAAGUGUGAUGAUCAUCAUUAUUAGAGCAUUGUCCCAAAGAAAAAAAGAAAAAUAAAAAAAGGCCAAAAAAAGGAAAAAAAGAAAAAGAAAAAGAAACAAAAAAAGAAAAUAAAUAAAAAGGGGCAAUGUUACUAUCUCUUUUUCCACACUUGUGCUUCAAAGUAGCACCAUGUCCUUCAUAUAGCGAGUCUCAUAUAUUGUGCUUCAAAAUAGCACCAUGUUUUUCAUAUAGUGAGUCUCAUAUGUUGUCACUUUCAUAUACUAGUGGGAAUUUUUCAUUAUAUAACUUGGCUUGUAUAUUCCUAUGAUGGGCUUCCUCAAAUGACCUAGGUCUUCGUGAGCAAGCAAGUUGGAUGCACACCCACUAGUUUUCUUUUGUUGAGCUUUCAUUCAUUUAUAGCUCUAGUGCAUCCGUUGCAUGGAAAUCCCUACUCCUCAUGUUGACAUCAAUUGAUGGGCAUCUCCAUAGCCCGUUGAUUAUCCUCGUCAAUGUGAGACUUUCUCCUUUUUUUUCUCCACACAAUCUCCAUCAUCAUAUUCUAUUCCACCCAUAGUGCUAUAUCCAUGGAUCACGCUCAUGUAUUGCGUGAAGGUUGAAAAAGUUUGAAAUUAUUUAAGUACGAAACAAUUGCUUGCCUUGUCAUCGGGGGUGUAGAAUUUGGGAACAUUUUUGUGUGAUGAAAAUGAAGCAUAGCCUAACUAUAUGAUUUUGUAGGGAUGAACUUUCUUUAGCCAUGUUCUUUUGAGAAGACAUGAUUGCUUUGAUUAGUAUGCUUGAAGUGUUACUAUUUCUUUUAUCAAUAUGAACUUUUAUUUUGAAUCAUUUGGAUCUGAACAUUCAUGCCACAAUAAAGAAAAUUACAUUGAGAAUUAUGCUAGGUAGCAUUCCACAUCAAAAAUUACAUUGAGGACGAGCAGGAAUUAAGCUUGGGGAUGCUUGAUACGUCUCCAACGUAUCUAUAAUUUUUAUUGUUCCAUGCUAUUAUAUUAGCCCUUUUGGAUGUGUAUGGGCUUUAUUUUACACAUUUAUAUAAUUUUUGGGACUAACCUACUAACCGGAGGCCCAGCCCGUAUUGCUGUUUUUUUGCCUAUUUCAGUAUUUCGAGUAAAAGGAAUAUCAAACGGAGUCCAAACGGAAUGAAACCUUCGGGAGUGUGAUUUUUGGAAAGAACGUGAUCCAGAGGACUUGGAGUGCAAGUCAAGAAGCAAUCGAGGCGGCCAGGAGAUAGGAGGGCGCGCCUUGUCUCCUGGGCCCCACAGGCGGUCACCGACGUACUUCUUCCUCCUAUAUAUACCCACGUACCCCGAAAACAUCCAGGAAGCCAACGAAAAACAAUUUCCACCACCGUAACCUUCUGUAACCGUGAGAUCCCAUCUUGGAGCCUUCGCCGGCGCUCCGCCGGAGGGGAAUCGACCAUGGAGGGCUUCUACAUCAACACCAUAGCCCCUCCAAUGAGUUGUGAGUAGUUUACCACAGACCUUCGGGUCCAUAGUUAUUAGCUAGACGGCUUCUUCUCUCUUUUUGGAUCUCAAUACAAUGUUCUCCCCCUCUCUUAUGGAGAUCUAUUCGAUGUAAACUCUUUUUGCGGUGUGUUUGUCGAGAUCCGAUGAAUUGUGGGUUUAUGAUCAAGUUUAUCUAUGAGAAAUAUUUGAAUCUCCUCUGAAUUCUUUUAUGUAUGAUUGAGUUAUCUUUGCAAGUCUCUUCGAAUUAUAAGUUUGGUUUAGCCUACUAGAUUGAUGUUUCUUGCCACGGGAGAAGUGCUUAGUGUCGGUGUCAAAAUCAGCGGAUCUCGGGUAGGGGGUCCCGAUCUGUGCGUCUAGGGCUAAUGGUAGCAGGAGGCAGGGGACACUAUGUUUUACCUAGGUUCGGGCCCUCUUGAUGGAGGUAAAACCCUACUUCCUGCUUGAUUGAUAUUGAUGCUAUGAGUAUUACAAGAGUUGAUCUACCACGAGAUCGUAGAGGCUAAACCCUAGAAGCUAGCCUAUGAUGAUUAUGAUUCUGUCCUUAAGGACUAAACCCUCCGGUUUAUAUAGACACCGGAGGGAGCUAGGGUUUACACAGAGUCGGUUACAAAGAAGCAAAUAUAAUAUACGGAUUGCCAAGCUUGUCUUCCAUGCAAACGGUCCAACAGUCCGGCCCAAGUAUAUAGUCCGGCUGUCCGGAUGCCCCCUAAUCCAGGACUCCCUUAGUAUCCCCUGAACCAGGCUUCAAUGACGAUGAGUCCGGCGCGCAGUUUGUCUUCCGCAUUGCAAGGCGGGUUCCAUCUCCGAAUACUCCAAAGUAAUUCGAACACUUGAAUCGUGUCCGGAUCCACAAGAUGAUCUUCACAUGCCAUCAUGAAGAGAACGAUAUUCCAUAAACAUAAUCUACUAACAUCUUUGGUUAGCAUGACAUAGCACCAUGGACAAGUCAUUAUCGAACCGUCUCUACUACCAAACACUGCACAUACUGCGAGGCGGUCUCGUCGAAGCAGCGAUCGUGCUCCCCUUAUCGCUGGGCUUUCAUCAAUACGAGCACGGGUAGCCCAACCGCUCUGCUAAUUGCGGCGAGUGGGGAACAAGUGGGUUCCACCAGGCAAGUGGGGAGGCGAAAAAGCUUUUACCGCCUCUAUAAAGAGAUAAGGUCUCUUCCUCUUUACUCACGCCUUUCCCUUCCGCUAGUCCAUUCCCCUUUACUCGAGCCCUAGCGCUCAAGCACUCUUCUUCUCCACCGAAGAGAGGUCCUCCGAAGAUGUCUGGAUCUGGAGCAAGAAGCAAAUGGAUGGCCUCUACCGUCCGGGAGAGGGAUAUCAAAAAGCUCCGAGAGGCCGAGUACCUGGCCAAGAAAAUCGGCCACCGUCUUCCGCCGGCGGGACAGAUCGUCCCUACUCCGGAGCCCCAUGAGAGGGUCGUGUUUCUCCCUCAUUUUGUCCGUGGGCUCGGGUUUCCCCUUCACCCAUUCGUUCGCGGCGCCAUGUAUUAUUACGAGAUUGAUUUUCAUGAUCUGUCCACCAAUUCUUUCCUUAACAUCUCAACGUUCAUCGUCAUGUGUGAGGCUUUUCUCCGUAUUUCGCCCCACUUCGGCUUAUGGCUGAAGAUCUUGAAUGUGAAGCCCAAGGUGGUGAAUGGCGAGCACGCCGAAUGCGGCGGCGCCAUGGUGAGCAAGAUGCCCAAGGUCGUAUGGCCGACGGGUGCCUUCAAUGAUUCCGUCAAGGAGUGGCAGCAGUAGUGGUUUUAUAUCACCGAACCGCGCGGAAAAAAGUGGGCCGCUACUCCUGAGUUCAGAUCCGGAGCCCCACUGCGGCUCAAGUCCUGGCCCGAGAAGGGCCUGAACUGGUCCUCAUCCGACAAGCUGUCGGUGCUCCAAACGCGCGUUUAGAGCGUGGUCGACAAGGAUGUCAAACUCGUCAACGUAGUCCAGGUGAUGUUGGUUCGCCUGGUUCUCCCUUGCCAGCGUCAAGCCUGCAAUUUGUGGGAAUAUGACCCGGCCGAACACCAAACCCUACGGGAGCUCUAUGGCUCCUCCCACAAGGACAUCUGGAAGGUGCUCUUCAAGUCCGGCAAACCAUGGCCGGGCUCCACCGAGGACCGUGGGUAUCAACUAUGCCACUCUGCAAGUCCGGUAAGUCAUUGAUGUGCUCUAUCCAUCCAUGUUUUAGAUGGCAUGUCCUAAGGGAGACGCUUUUAUCAUGCUUUCUACAAUAAUCCCAGGAAUGGACGAAAAAGGUGGAGCGGAUACACUGUCCAGCCCCGCAGCUGGAGGAACCGGCCGGACCUCUUCUAACGAAGAUGCUGGUCCCAGCGCCUUAUGAGGCGCCGAAGAAAGAGGCCUCCACCCGGAGCGGCCUCCGUCGUCGCGAUGCUUCGGACACAAAAUCCAAAGACUCCAGCGACCAUCCCACCUCCGAAGAUGAAGAGGACGAGGAAGAAGACGAGUCCCCUGCAGGGGGAGGGAAGAAAAGGACGGCUUCCUCAUCCCUGGAGGCCGAAUCGCCAAAGAGGGGGAAAGGUUCCCUUCCAGAGGCAUCCACCACGGCUGCUAAUAGCAGCCCGGAGUGGGAUCCCAGGGCCCGACCCCUGGUAAAGUUGUAAGUAUACGAAAUCCGAACACGCCUACGUGCCCGAGGUCAUUAGGAUGUAGUAGUUUAAUUGUCACAAUACUUUGUGCAGCCCGGCAAGGUCCCACGCUGGACAAUCCUCAUCGGAGGAUUCGCUGAGCUCAGAUGCCGUGGAGAGCGAGACACCUCCAAAGGCCCCUUCCCCGAAGCCUAGGCACGAUACCGAGGUGUCGUCUCAGCGGGGUCCGGACCAGGGAGGACAUAUCUAUGGGGCCGGAUAUACGGGAGCAGCGGCUCCCCUGCGUGUCGAUGGCGGGGGCGAUCUUAGGUUUGGCCUGCCACUGGACACGGUCCUGGAAACCUUUAAAGUUCCAGGAUCGGGCGAGCAGCCACCUUUGAUGGGGGGAGGCUCGCCCACUCCGCCAACAACCUUUGUCCAAGCAGAGUUGUCGGGCGGCUUAUUGACAGCGCUAAAGAGCGCGUCCAUCGUUGAUGAACAUCGUGCCUCAUGGGUGUGGUGAUUGAAAGGAUUCAGUCCGCUGAGAGCGGACUAAAUGAAUCCUGCCUUAGCCUUAUAAAAGGUUUUGAGGUAUGUUUUUAGAAACCUUUGGGAGAUUUUCAUAGUAUGAGUAGUAGCCACUGAUGCACUGUCCGGUGAAAGAAACAAAAAGCCGGAUAGGGGAUCAAGUUUCUGCUUUGCAGGAGACUCAGUUAAUGACGUGUAUCCCUUUGUUUGAAAACAGGCGUCUGUAGAGACGACCGCCUCCCAUAAUGCAGAGGUGUCCGGACUGAAGCAGAGUCUAGAACGGGCCGAAGAGGAACUUGGCCGCAUGAAGGAGCAGUUGGAGGACAAGCAAGGUAUGUCGAAGCCUUUUGCUAAGUUGAGCACGAAUUAGAAGUUGUGCCUGAUAAAAAUAUCUGUAUCGUAUGCUCUAGGAGCGAGUGCCGAAAUUGAGGCACUGAAGAAGGUUGUGGCUGAAGCCGACAAUAAGGCCGCCGCCGAGCAGGUUCUUCGUGAGAAGCACGAGGCCAGGGUCAUUGAAGCCGAGCGAGAGCUCCAGGAGGCCGUGAAGAAAAGCGAGACCUUGGAGCAGAGUCUAGCAGGGAAAGAAUCCGAACUCGCCUAAGCUCUCCAAGCCACAGAGGAUGCUCGGGAAGAAGCCCGAGGUGCUCUGAAGGACAUUCAGGAGGCAUGGAAGGUUGCGGCUGGUAAGGCCUUUUGUACCCAAGGCCAUUUUUACAUAGUAAUGAGAGGAACUCUGCGACAAGCUGAAUUCUUGUUUCUCCAGGGGCGUUUGCAGACCUGCCACGCAGCAUAUCAGAUGCUGCCCAAUUCUACCUGACUGAGGAGAAGAAGUCUGCGGAGAAGCAUUUCUGGUCGCAGUAUUUGGCGCCGAAUUAUCCGGUGCCCUUUAUCGAUCAGCUGAAGCAGCUGGUCGAACUGCACCAGGCGGCCGAACUAGCCAUGAAGGACUUGGUUGUCCGGCUGUGGCCGGCGGAGCCAAUUCCAAGCAGUUACUUCGGACUUGUGAAGCAGAUUGUUGGUGCUUGCCCUCGGCUCGAUGUCAUUAAGCGAUCGGUUUGCAUAGAGGGUGCACGCAUGGCGUUUGCCCAUGCGAAGGUGCACUGGGGGAAGCUUGAUGCUGAGAAGCUGAUGACUGAUGGACCACCGGAGGGUAAGGAGCAUCGCAAGCCCGAGUUAUACUAUGAAGGUGUCCUGAAAGGAGCCUGCCUUGUGGCGGAUCAGUGUACCAAAGACACUAUAUUUCCCUGAAGGCAGUUAUGCCGUCCUUUGUAAUGAGGGAUAAUGGCACUGUUAUUAUUUAUUGCAUGUUUAUGUGAAUGUUUGUUCUUCAUGUGCGGCUAUUUAGUGUAUAUAAAUCCUGAGAGUUGGCCAGUCGUCGGCUUCUGCCCCCACGUAAAAAGUACAGGGGUGUUCAGGACAUACCUGAACACUCUUUAUCCCAUUGUUGGGUCCUUUUAAGGAGGUGUUCCUCAGCACGAACCAGGUAAUCAGACUAUAGGGCUUUAUCACUCUCACUUAGCCAUAGGAAUUCGAGUAUGGUAGGCGCAGCCCCUGGUAUUCGGAAGACCGUACUAGGGGCUCUAACGGCGCCUGAUCAGAAAACCGAUCCAUCGCACUCUGCAUUUAUUAUGGCAUUGUGCGGAAUAAAUCUUUAAAGAUUUUACAACCUCUCGAACAGCUGACCAGCUCUCGCCAUAUCAUGACAGUCAGUUUUCGGCUUUCUCUACUGAGGUGCUCGUUCAGAAGAUCCGGGACACAACCGCAGUAGUUCUUCCAGCGCUACCUUAGCCGAUAGAGCAGAACAUAAGGUACCAAAACAUGGGAGCCGGGCAAACCCAACUAAUGACCCAAGACAUGAUUCAGAGCUGAUGCAUAUAGUGUUAUAAGUUCGGGGUGCCGAGCGUCCGAAAAGGUGGCCGGACUUUGUUGCCAUAUUAUGAGUAUUAUGAAGCCCUUGGCAUAGUGGGGCAUAACACGAUGUACGGGUGCCGUUUAUGACAAAAAGGGCAUCAAUGAGGAAUGACAGCCGGUAAGUGUUAUUUAAGUCAAUGCAUUGUAGUAGAGUGACAUGUCUAUGCAUAUGAGUAUGGUUUAUGCUUAUGAAAAGAGGUGUUUUGGCGGAACCUGUCGUGGCCGGACUGGAAGAGGUUGUGUGUGGAUCCGAAGUGUAUCCGGACUGUCUCCUUUGGGGGGGGGGAUUUACUUAUGCGUUCCCGCCUUGUGCAAAUGAGCUGAUUCCGUGUCGCCAGUCCUGUUCUGCGCCAAAGUCAGUCUGUAAAGACAAAUGCUUAAAGGCAGCUGCAUGUCAUGUUGUGGUUGAACCGCGGGUGCCUGAUCGGAGACUGGCUGAACCAGGCUAUCAUGCCAUAAAGUAACUUGGACUCCUCAGUUGGUGUCCGGGUAGUUGGCUGCCAAAUCAAAAUUUGAUAAAUGGGCACAACUCGCUAUUCCAGCAACGGUAUGAUUUCCACUCUGAGGGUUGGGUUCGGCCUUGCCCAUAAUUGUGACUAUGUCACGCGGGACUGGCCUAAUGUUGUACCCCGUUGAAUCUAGCCAACAUGGUUUGUCUCGAUAGUAUAUGGUAGUUACUGUAUAAGGGGACAAUGCCGAAGACUUAUUCUUUGGCGUGGUAUUUGUUUGGUGAUCCGAACACAACCACUAGUGUGGUGGGCCUUUAAAACUUGGCCUUUGUGCCUGGCAUCUUUUAAAAGAUGUUAUUGAUAGUUUUAUGCCCAUGGGGGCUCGUGUGAGAUGGGGCCCACAAACUGUUGGGUCGAUAAUGAGUGCAAUUUAAAUUGCUAUGGUUGAUGUUGUCCGGAUGGUCGAUGUGAUCGGAGAUGAUCAGCCGUAUUUUUGUACUGUGGAGGAUCUUCCUUUGACCUCGCCAGGUUUGAUCGGUCUCUAGUUGUUUGAAACCUCCCUUCAUUGUUUCCGGUGCGACCGGCCGUUUUGUUUUGAGGAUCCUACAUCCUCUAUUGGUAUGAUUGGCCACCCGUCUAGGGGUACCAUGAAUUUCACAUGGUUGAUCGCGUAUGCUGCUCGGGCCGGAUGGGCUUGAGCUGUUCUUUUUCCGCUAACCGGACUGGGGGCCGCUGAGUUCGGCACCAACUUCCUUGACUUGACGCUUAUGACGAUUGUGUCGAGGUUUGUGGAUGCUGCCUCGCGUUUCCUGCGUAUUGUCCCGGACCAUGGUAUAUUGGCGUCGGCGUGUGGGCUUUAGGUUCUCCUUCUUAGGUUGAGGUAGCGAAUUGUGCCAUGUGUACCCUUUGGCGGGGCGGCCGAGUCCAUAUUCCUCAGUGGCCAGGACCUUGGUCCAUCUAUCUAUGAGCAAAUCUUGGUCAGCUUUGAGCUGCUGUUGAUUCUUUUGCAGGCUUUUUGCCAUGGCCAUAAGCCCUCGCUUAAAGACAACUUGUUCCGCGGGAUCCUCAGGCACACCAAUUCAUCGUCGCCGAGGCUCACCUCGUAUUCGGAAGGGGGCAUGUAGUUGUCCCUUUCCAAGUAUUCGUCCGUCUCCUGUCCGGCCUGCUCGAAGGCAGGCUGAUCGGGAUUGUAUUCAUCUUCGGCACCGUCUGGAUUGUUUUUGACUGCUGUGCCGGUAAUUUUGUGGUGGGGCUUGGGGUGGCGCUGAUGAUGUUCAUACUUUGCCUUCUUCCUUGAGGGGUUAUCCUCUAUUGCCUCAUCGCCAUUGGUUUUUUUUGGGGUGUCCACCAUAUAUAUAUAUAUAUAUAUAUAUAUAUAUAUAUCAUAUGAGGAGGUGGCUGUCCACCGCCCCGUGGGGUUCCUGUUCUUCUCCUACACCGUCGUCCAUACCGUCGAUGUCUUCAGAGUCGAAGUCAAGCACGUCGGUUAAAUCAUCGACCAUAGCAAUGAAGUGGGUGGUGGGUGGGCAACGAAUUCCUUCUUCGCCUGCUUCCCACUCGAGCCAGACAUAGUUCCGCCAAGAGUCUUCUGACAAAGAGAGAGACUUUAACGAGUCCAGCAUGUUGCCAAAGGGAGAGUGCUGGAAGAUAUCCGCAGCGGUGAACUCCAUUACUGGAGCCCAACCAGAUUCGGCGGGCUCGAGGGUGCGUGGACUGGAACCUACAGCCGGGUACGAGUCUGGGGGUCCGGUGUCACAGGCUUCCUUGGGGGUGAAGUCUGUGUUCGGCUCUACCGCCGAUGAGUGUGCGGCCUCCGGGGCGGGGUCCAUCCACCCGUCCUCGGGCGACGCAAUCUGCCCUGGAUUUAGGUCCGGGGCUCCUACAGGACGAUAUCCCGAGCAUUGUCCGACGGCAGGUCUAAGCCGUGCUCAUCGUGACUGUCCGGUGCUCCUGGUGCAGGCCCGGAUCUGUUGAAGAUCAAGUCUCCGCGGAUAUCGGCCGUGUAGUUCAAGUUUCCGAACCUGACCUAAUGGCCCGGGGCAUAGCUGUCGAUCUGCUCCAGAUGGCCAAGCGAAUUGGCCCGUAGAGCGAAGCUGCCGAACACGAAGAUCUGUCCGGGAGAAAAGUCUCACCCUGGACCAUGUUGUUGUUGACGAUUGAAGGAGCCAUCAGGCCUUGCAGCGACGACACAGAGGAACUCUCAAUGAAAGCACCAAUGUCGGUGUCAAAACCGGUGGAUCUUGGGUAGGGGGUCCCGAUCUGUGCGUUUAAGGCUAAUGGUAACAGGAGGCAGGGGACACGAUGUUUUACCCAGGUUCGGGCCCUCUUGAUGGAGGUAAAACCCUACUUCCUACUUGAUUGAUAUUGAUGAUAUGAGUAUUACAAGAUUUGAUCUACGACGAGAUCGUAGAGACUAAACCCUAGAAGCUAGCCUAUGAUGAUUAUGAUUCUGUCCUUAAGGACUAAACCUCCGGUUUAUAUAGACACCGGAGGGAGCUAGGGUUUACACAGAGUCGGUUACAAAGAAGGAAAUAUAAUAUCCGGAUCGCCAAGCUUGUCUUCCAUGCAAAGGAGAGCCCAUCCGGACACGGGACGAAGUCUUGAGUCUUGUAUCUUCACGGUCCAACAGUCCGGCCAAAGUAUAUAGUCCGGCUGUCCGGAUACCCCCUAAUCCAGGACUCCCUCACUUAGCUUUGGGUUCAAUCUUGCGGUGUCCUUACCCAGUGACAGCAGGGGUUGCAAGGCACGUAUUGUAUUGUUGCCAUUGAGGAUAAAAAGAUGGGGUUUAUAUCAUAUUGCUUGAUUUAUCCCUCUACAUCAUGUCAUCUUUCUUAAUGCGUUACUCUGUUCUUAUGAACUUAAUACUCUAGACGCAUGCUGGAUAGCGGUCGAUGUGUGGAGUAAUAGUAGUAGAUGCAGGCAGGAGUCGGUCUACUUGUCACGAACGUGAUGCCUAUAUACAUGAUCAUGCCUAGAUAAUCUCAUAAUUAUUUGCUUUUCUAUCAAUUGCUCGAUAGUAAUUUGUUCACCCACCGUUAUACUUAUGCUAUCUUGAGAGAAGCCUCUAGUGAAACCUAUGGCCCCCGGGUUUAUCUUUUAUCAUAUAAGCUUUCAAUCUACGUUUAUUUGCAUCUUUACUUUUUGCGUCUAUAUUAUAAAAUACCAAAAAUAUAUUUAUCUUAUCAUACUAUCUCUAUCAGAUCUCACUUUCGCAAGUGGCCGUGAAAGGAUUGACAACCCCUUUAUCGCGUUGGUUGCGAGUUCUUUGUUUGUUUGUGUAGGUGCGUGGGACUUUUGAGGAGCCUCCUACUAGAUUGAUACCUUGGUUCUCAAAAACUGAGGGAAAUACUUACGCUACUAUUGCUUCAUCACCCUUUCCUCUUCAAGGAAAACCAACGCAAGCUCAAGACGUAGCAUUAGCCUAUAUCGAUUUCGGACGAGGAGAGUUUGUUUUACCGCCCACCAUGUAUGAAUAGGGAAAUGGAGGAAGAGACACAUGUCUUUCGGAUGAGCUUGAAACAAAUGUGUUUUGCCGCCCACGUUUGGCGCCCGCCGUAUCUGAAUGGGAUUAGAGGCCGUUGUGUCAUGUCUGAUUGAAGUUACUAGUCUACCCCUAUGGACAACAGUGUAAAUCUGGUUGAUAAGGAUGUCAAGUGUCACGGGUAGACAGUAAUUUCCAUCUCGCAAACACUUGCUUCGGGCAACCCACAAAUUAUAGUGGGUGUUUAGCUGCUUCGUUCAAAACUUGGGAGAAUUAGCAUUCACGUUUGCCCUGGGCCCUGGCAAACUAAAUUCAAAUCCAAUUUGUAUUCGAUUACGAAUAUCCACAGAUAAUUCUAUGUUUUGUUAUUUAUUUCUUCAAAACCACAACAAAGAUUUAUUCCACCUUUAUAUAUGAUUAUGAUUUAGAAAUGUCGUGAUCUUCGAAAUCAGUAGGUUGGAUACACUCUGAGUCAAACAGUUAUUUCAUCCAAUACAAUAUGCUCACACAAAAAACAGUUCACCUUAUGUCAAUCAUACAAGUACUGAUGAUUACCUCGCCUAAAAAAUUCGGAUCAUUACAACAAAUGGACAUCAUAGGGGGUCUUGCAACAUAAUCCAUUCAGAGACAUGAGACAACAUGCAAGUACAAUAAUCUAAUGACAAUUUCAACUAGUAUCUAAAGAAGAACCAGGAUUACACUGGGCUUCAGAUAGCAGAAACAGCAGGACCUCCUCCGUCUUCAAAUGCAACAUUCUUACUUCUUCCAGUUCUUGGGUUGCUUGCAUAAUGUGUGCUGCUAAUUCCAUAAUUUCCAGCCUCAAGAUAAAGAUUACCUCAUUCAUGGCAGCCAGACCAUCUCUUUCUGCCUCUAGUAGAGCCUCAAGCACUAUAAUAUCUGUGCUCAAACUGCUCUCCGGCGGUGUUGCCUCUGAACUGCUACCAUCUGGUAACAUGGAUGGCACACUGCUUUCACAAAUAGAUUCUGGGGUUGUACAUUGUGUCCUAGUGUGUCGGGAAGGACAAGACCCCGGCAAGAUCGACAACGCCAUGGUGCUCCUAGCACCAUACUCGCGUUGGAACAAGGCCAAGCCGGUGGAUCGCGGGACACUCAAGGCCAACAUGCACGUCAACACGCUGGUACGAGCGCAGUACGGUCGCCUGGGCGAGAUGUUGCUCCUUCUAACACUGUUAGAAGUUUGAGCAUAUCCCGCACCUCGUGCCGCUCGCCACCGCCGCCCAAGACUCCAAAGGAAGCACUGGUCCGAGCCCACAAAGAUAUCGUGGGAAACGAACACCUAUGGGGCAGGGCCCCUUUCGGUCCGGCAAGGGAGCGGAUGGCGCAUGAAGAGAAGAUCGAGGCGAAGCACGCGAGGGAUUUUACCCAGCUUCGGAGCUCUCCGGAGAGAUAAAACUCCUACUGCUGCUUUGUGUUUCUAUUCUGUUCUUGCUCGAGAGCGUAGGUGUGUUGUAGUUUCGAAUGAGUCGAACCCUUUCUACGUGCGCAUGGGCCUCCUUUUUAUAGUCUAAAGGGGUCACCGACUAGGUGGCAGCGUAGAGAGAGGGGUAAAAAAGUAAAAAUGGGGGUUGGUACAACCGCUAUCAACAGUGCCCCCUACCUAACUCUGACGGCAGGGGACAAGGGCAUUUAAUGCCCGUCCGGUCGCCCAAACAGUGCAAGAAACGACCGUUAGGGGCGCCACCGAUCGCCACAUUGGCCUUCUAGUCAUCUUCACUUGCCACCUCGCACCGCUUGGCUGCACAGCUACCCGCCACGUGCACCAGGAGCGAUCCUGCAGCGACACGUCGUCGGAUGUGCUGGAGCGUGGGCGCAGAGUGGUGGCUUUGCCGCGGCAAGCGCCUUGCCGCGGUCGCUGUCUUGUCACACCCGCCAGCUUGCCACUCGCCGGGUCUUGCCGGGACACGCGGUGCGUCGCGGCAAGUCUCUUGAAACGCCUUGGUUGGUCUUCCCGGCAUAGUGUGAACGGUGUCCUAAAAUGUUUCCGCUGGACAUAAGUAAGAGAUAAUUAUCGUAUGAUCCAGGCAGUAAGCUUACAUGGUAAACGACAUACGAAUUAUUGACGAGCAUGGCAAGCUAUAUUUAAAUGGUUCAAAGCAGCAUCAGUCGGAAAGAAAUUAAAAUGGUAAGAUGAAACUAGGGAUGUAAGUGGUAGAUAAACAACAUCCGCUAGUCCCAUCUACUUAGUUUUUGCUAGCUCCCUAGUUCAUUUUCCUCAGAAGACAAAAACUCUUUUGAACUUUCAUACCACUAGUGGACUUCAAUCGGGAUUCAACGGGACCCAGUUGACAUCCCUAGUUGAAAGGGAGUGUACCACCGCUAUAUUUAAGUUGCCAAGGCAUCUAAGUAGUUGAAAUAAUGUGAGAAAGCACUUAACAGUGUGGCCUCAUAUAAACUACGAAGACAGUCUUGUGAUGAAGUUGAGAGGAAAAGUUAAGGACUCAAAUGAACUAGGCAUGCAUUUCUUUAUGAUAGUACAACGGGCACUGCUGACAUAUUAGCCAACUCGGGUAUAGCGUAACAACAAACAAGCAUUCGAAUCAAGCAAUACAGCAAGGCAGACAACUGAACUAUUUGCAAUUCGGUAGGAUUACCGGUUGAGGGCACAAGCCAAGAAAGCAGCCGACUCGCAUUACAUUUCACAUGUACUAAAACACACUGGCUUACCAUAUGUUGCUGUGAAGCCUCGCUGCUAUUGCAAUGUUCUUUGAAGAUAUCGUCAUCAUCCCGUGGUUGCAAAUCUAGUUGUUGUAGUUUAUUCUUCACCCUCUAUUUAGGUUCAUCUAAACUAAUGAAAGAAGGGUGUGUGCAUACACGAGAAUAUAUCUGCUUCCUUCUAUGUAGAAGCUCCAUAAUUAAUAGAAGCAUCAAAUUGGUCAUGCAACUUGGGAAGAUCAAGAACACACAAUCAAGUAAUGAACAGAGGCUCGGAGCAGUGAUGUAAUAGCUAGCAUUAGAAAAUGUAGGGUAAAACGAACAAAAAGCAGCAGAACCACAUGCUAGUUUGCUGAUGUGUAAUUAAGCAUAGAGAACAUUAAGUAGUCUGAUGGAACCAACAGGUGGCAUCAGAACAACACCAUUAUCAUAAAUAUAGCAUUCAAGAAGUAAAAAGUAGGCAGUGAUAUCUAGGAAGUACAGUAAUACUUAGGACAAAACUAAAGCAUAUUAACUAUAUGUGCACUGGUAUGUAAUUUAUCACAUGUAACAUGUUCACUGCCAGGAGUAUGGCCCUAUAGGUGCGAGCAGAAUAACGCGUCUCAUGAAAAACUGAAUGAUGCCCUGAAGAAAUUCAAAGGUGCGAUGCUUAUGCUAGGAAAGUGAACGUAGGCGCCGGUUGUUGGAUAAUAAUACCUGAUUCUCGGCGGCGUAUGGGUAUCAUUGUCAUAUUUGAUAGCUAAGGAUCAUCGAUGGUUCUCGUCUUGCGGUUGAGUCUGGGUCGGCUAUCGUCGUCGCUGAAGUGGCUCCGGUGCUACGGUUGCAGCACCUAUCGACAUACAAGAAAGCACAUUUGUGGUAAGUGAAUAGUUGCAUGAUAAAGAGAAAAACCGAAGGAGUACAAACCAAAAUAACCUGAUGAGGCUGCGGCAUCGGUAAAGUAGGGCCGGUGGAGUUGAAUAUGGCGUCCGUGGAGCGGGUCUGGUGCAAUGAACGAAGGCUUCGGCGGGCGCAUUGUACAGUGCUUUCGGUGAGGCGGAUCUGUUCCGGCGGACGAGGGCUUGUAUGAAAGGCCAGCGAAGGGGCGGACGAGGUAGCCAGUGAAGGGCCUACACUAUGGUGGACAAGGGCGCCGGUUAAGCAGGUCCGGUGCGGUGGACCAUGAUGGCGGUCAAGGAGAUUUGGGGCGGUGGACAAGCCAGUCGCUGAAGCGGCUCCGGUGAAGUGGUGAGUUAGCAGUUGGGGGUUCCAUGGUGCAGAAGGUAGAUCCGGUGGGGUGUGAGGUGCACCGCUGCGGCAGAGGACUAGAUUUGGCGGCUUGCGGUGGUUGGGGGGGGUCGGGGAGGGGAAGGGAAAGGGGAGGGGCUCUGGGGAAGAAUGUUUGGGGCAAAGAGGGGAAAACAAUGGAGUUACCAAACCAGCCCUUUCCCGUUCAUGUGGCAGGGGUAAAACAGGAAUAUUGCAGGACUAAACUUUCGGGCGUGAGAUAUUUCGAUGUGAGCGGGAAGUUUGAAAGCUUUUGGCACCUGAAAUUAUAUUCUGCUCUUGUAUGGCCGACUAUGAUAUCAUGGCCGACAAUUUGUUUGUUUUGCACGCAAAAGAAAGUGCAAGUUUUGAAAAUCAAUGUCUCCAACUCGAAACUUAGAUUGUCCAUUCAAUUCAAAUAUGGAUCAUUGAGCCACUACAAGCAAAUACCAUCAUAUGGUCCAAUUAAAAUGAAAAUACAAAUGUGUUUAUCCUAAAUAUGAUGACAAAAGCAAAAAUAUGUAUGUGUAUGAAUAAAGUGGAUGAUUAUAAUGUUUGAACAUGCUCGUAUGUGUAUAUCUCUAGGUUUGAUAUAUGAAUUUGAAAUCAUGAAAUCCCGGCUUAAAAAAUGUACCUCCAUUUAAAUGAAUUACAAAAGCUAAUGAUGGAGUCGAAUUCCAAAAUUCCAAUCUUAGGUUUGUAAUUCUGGUACAUCAAGGUAUAUCACGCAUGUUCAAAAGUAUCGUUAUCUCAUAGUCCAAACUGUGAAACAAAUUGAUCAACCAUGAGUGCACAAUAUCUCAAUUACGCUAAAGUCCCUCAAAUACAGACACCUCACUCUUUAUCUAAAGCCACCCCCCCCUCGUUGCCCCCCCACACACACACAUAGAGAAGUCAUUCUCUCCCCCAAACACCAACACACGAGCACAUUAACACCCCUCUCUCUUCUAAAGUCGGACCCCAAUAUAGGUCUCCAUCACUUUGUCUCUCGGGCAUGCACACAUCUCUUCCCCCACUCUCUAGGUCUCCCGACAUCUCUCUUUCCCAAGCACACGCACUAUGUAGAGUGUAUCUUUCCCAUACACACAAAAGGUCGCCCCCAAACGUCUAUCUCCCUAGUUAUGUGGUUCUCCCGUACUCACCUCACACACCACCCCCACUGCAAACAAGCACACUUUGUCUCCUUGCGCACCACUCUCCUAUUUCCAUCUCUCCCACAUGCGGACCCGCCCCAGCUCCUUCCCUGUAUACAUAUAUGUCGUGAAUCUUUCCAUAGCUCCCUAAUGUAUCAUCGUUCUCAAUCUCGCACAUUGUUCUCUACACCAUCUAUUCUAGAUCUCUCAUGAAGUCCCUAUCACACACAUGAUGACUCACUUCCCUUGCGUCUCCGUACAUCGGCCAAUUUCAAACAACAUCAACAUUGUCUCCCUAUCUAUACACCAUUUAUGGACACAAAUAACCCCUCUCGCCCCCUCUCUUCCUCUCUCUCUCUCUCUCUCUCCGUCGCUAGCUCUCUCUCGCUCUCACACCCCUCUCCCACACACACACACACUCGGUGUCUCUUCCAAAUAGUAUGCUCCCCCCGCCUGCACCCAUACUAUCCCGCUACUACACAUGUCACACCAUUCCCCCUUCCCUUAUACUAGGUUUACAUUAGUAGUGGUCUCUCUACUCCACAUACACACACUCCCUCUCACACACAAAUGCAUGCACAAACACACACAGCCACGCACAAACACCCAUUUAUCUGGAUCCUCAUCUCUCCCCAUGUGCGCAUGUGUUUCUCACACACUCACUCUCUAAUUAUGUAUAUGUGUCUCCAUGUUACACAACACAAAGCCCCAUGUACAUGUCUCUAUCUAUCCUCCACACACAUAGACACAAAGAAUCUAUUAUCAUUGCCUCAGUCUCUAGACAUAUCACACACGAACACUGUCUCUCUCUCUCUCUCGCAAACACGCUCAACAAGGGUUUCCCCGUGAAUAACUUAUCGUCUAUUCAUCAAAAGUCGUGGCAGUACGGGAAAACCUAGUAUGACUACUAGGACUAGAGCAAGCCAAAAAGCGCGCCGCCGUCACCCCCUCCUUAUCAGCGAUGGGAAAACCUUUGUUUUACACAGUCGAAAAGUCAUUGUGCUAAGGCCCCACAUGCUGAGGCAUUGAAUAGAAUGUAGAUGCUAGUUUACAGAAACAAGUAUCAAUAAUACAUUUGUAUCUCCAUACUUAUAUUUCUUCUCUUAUAAAAACCGAGUUGGUGAUGAUGGUACGCAUGCCAUCUUGCAAUAUAGACCGUCCGAUCUAUAUCUGACGGAUGGAAAUUAAACUAAAAGAUACCCGCACGCCUCUCCACAUUUGCAGACAAGGCAUUCCCUCGUUCAUCCUUAUCUCCAACAACCUCAUUGUUGAGCAAUUAAGAAAGGAAGCCUCUGGAACAAACUGGCCUGGUGGCCGUUGCCGGCGUCGUCAAUCCCCAUGCCUCCGCUCAGUCCGACCACCAAUCACUACCACAUCCCACUCCUCUUCACCUUAUCUCAUAUUUCUCGAGAUAUCAUUAGUAUUUACACAUGGGAUUACUCCCGCAUGGGUCAACCACAACAAGUGUUUUAUAAAAAAAAUGCAUCUUGUUGUUCCGUGCAAUGCACGGAUCUUGCUAGUACUCCUACAGAAGACUAAGUUGGUGAUGAUGGUGUGUCUGCCAUCCGUCGUUUCUGACCAUUAGAUCUACAUCUAACGACUGUGAGGUAAGUUUUUGCCUUUUUCUCACCAACAUCCCACUUGUCUACCAAUUUGCAGAAAAACCCAUAAUUAGUAUCUUAAAACCAACCAAAUCCCUCCCUGACCUCACCAAAACAUACCCAAAAUUUCUUAAUCCAUGACAAAAACUACUACCUAGUACUCCUACCGAUUAGGUUCAUUCAAACCCAUUUAUGACAGGGUUGGCCACACGUCCAUGCCGUUCAUUUAAACCAACACAUUUUGUUUGACCGUUAACACGAGGGACCCACAUCUGACCUUCUAUCCUGUUAUUCCCCCUCAAAUCAUUAUUUUUCCUGAACAUUACUUCAAACAGUACUGAUGUGUGUUCGUCGGUGGUGCCGGUGAUGAGCGAUUUGGCCGCCGCUCUGUCGGACGGGCCGGACGCCGCGCUGGCCUCCGCACGGGUUGGCAAGCUGGCCCGAGCGUGACUCACGAGCGAGCAAGCCGCUGCGCUGGCCUUCGCUCGAGCCAGAUGGCUGGCCUUAGCAUAGCACGCGCGAGCAAGCCGCCGCGCUGCCGUGCAAAUCUAGCUAGCAAACCUUGCAUACAAGCAGAUGGACGGAGCUAUCUUGGCUAGCACCGGACGGAGUUGGCAUCCGGGCUGCCGCAACAUGGGCUCCGCACCGCCGGCGGUUUUGACCUCGCCUUGUGCCGGCGGUGGUAGCUGCGUCCCAUGGCUGAGGAUGACUAGGUGGACGGGCUGGAGGUAGGAGGUCACUUGGGGAUUUUUGUGCAGACUGACAUGUAAGCCCCACAAGUCAUAACGCCCGGUCGAAUAGAAGGCAUUGACUUAAUGGGCGACAUGGGCCCUGUCAGAGGUUAGAGUUAGAUUCCAACCCUGAACUAACUCUAACCAAAGUGGUGUUUGGAUGGUAGGGUUAGAUUGACAACAAAUGUAUCCAAACAGGGCCAUGGGUUGAAACGUGCCUACAACGACACUUUGUAGAGUAGUCGUUUCUUGGUAGGGCUGGUUGGUAAGAGCAUGUACAAUGGUUGAUAAGGUAGCCUUAUCUUAAGUGUGCCACAUAUGCAAGUGGUAGUAGUUUCUUGGCAUUUUAGCUGUUUCUUGCAUUAUUAGGGGUUUCUUGUAAGGAACAAUGUACAUACUACUAGCGACAAAAGGCGAUUCUAGGUUGCGUUGUACUCCAACGAGUACUACUAGUGGUCGCGGGAGUGUAUACCUCAUUUUGUGGGUUCGAUCCUGGCCGAACGCACGGUGGCCUUUUUUUAAAAUAGUAACUUCGCUGCAAGCCAAUAUUUUACAAGGGUUCUUUUAGUUUUGAAGUCAAACGGACGCGCGGCACCACAAUCUGGGUGUACUGGAUAGCCUAGCCACGUGAACGGGUUUUCCUUGCCAGCAUCCCGUGGCUCGCAUGCUCGCCCUAGCCGCACCUCACUUUCAGCUUCGUCAGCUAGUAGCAUAUUUAAACUAGCGCCUCCCAAUUAAGCCUGAGGAGCCAGAAAAGCCUGGUGGGGCAUUGGGAACUGUGCAAUAUGGCUCUGUACGUAAAGUGCCCUACUACUACUACUUUGUAGCUUGUGGCGUUGCACGCAUGGACUUCACUCCAUUAUCGGCUCUACUAUAAAAGAAAUUCCUCUUGACAUGUUUUUUUAAAUGGAGGCAAAAGCUUUGCUUCAUCUUAUUCAUAAAGAAGGAACUACUAACAAAGUUCGACGAGAUCCAUUACACCUCCACAAAUGGAAGCGAAAAGCCUAGUCUCGCUGUAUCAAAUAACUCAAAUGUUCUGCCCCCGCAGUAACCAUCGUUGAUAAACAGGCUGCUAGUGUGUGCGUGAGAGGAGCGGUUGAGUAGGCCAGCUACGUGAGAGGAGCAGUUGAAUAGAGCACCGAGAGUACCCACUAGGCCACUACGCAGGUGUACUUUCCCUGCAUUGAUAGUACAGCGAUGGUUCUAGAGAACAGUAGUACCCUCCACUUCCAAUUGUAGCUCCUUGGCCCUGAGAUUCAAGAGUUCAAAACUGGUGCACUAUACUAGACUAGACUAGAAGCACAGUACAUCACACUACUAGUUGAGAAAAAGUAGUACUAGUACUGCUACAGUACGAGUACGUACUCCUCCAUCAACAUAAUGUAAGACGUUUUUUGACACUAGUUGGCGUGUACAAAAAAUAGCAAAAACAUACCCAAAAUUUCUUAAUCCACGCCAAAAACUAGUACCUAGUGCCAAAAAUUUCUUAUUAGUGCUAUUAUUUACAGUAUAAUGCAAUCCCAUAAUGUUCCAUAAUGCUAGUACUAGUAGUAAAUAAUAGCCUCACCCCUUCGCUAAGGAACGAUCUACAGUUCGAAGGAACGAGGCCCUACGGUUACUACGCUCUUAUCUCCUCCUCGCCAGUUCCCCUCCCCCCGAAGAGAAGGUAGUUCGUCGCUGCUCCCAUAGAUUCGCCUGGCGGUUCUCCUCCUCGUCGGGGCUGGGAGACCUUCGAGGAUGAUCCUUUGGGAUAAAUCGGACGCCGCUCCGAAGUCCUCACCGCCACAAGACUUGGUGCUUCCUGCACCAAAUUUUUCAAGAUGGUGCUUAAACAGGCUUGGGAAAAGGCCAUGCUUGUUGGUCUUCCAUGCGUACUCGAGGAUAAGGUUCUUCUAUGGGACAAUCCUUCGAACAGUUCACCGCUCCCUGGCCAUGGUUGCACGUUGACUCCGCUAGAGUUGCCGACGUUGAGAGGUAGUCAGUUUUUGUCUGAUGAGCAGGUCAGUAAUGGUGUUUGAUCAUGUAGUACUUAGUUAUUCCAUUUCCAUCCUGUAAUUUCUCCGCCGCCCACUAUCUUAUAUAUAGGUCUGGGUCGGUGCCAACGAAGAUUGGCUUGCAUACCUCCGGCCGGAUACCACCAUCAUUUUUCACAACAUCCACAGUAGUGCGGCCGUUCCGGUAGACCCCUUCUCCACCAUUGGGAUUAGCCUUCCGGACUGGCUGGGAUCGAAUAUGUAUGAUGAUGCCUACAUGAGAUUGAAGAAGAUAGCAAUUGCGGACCCACCGACCAAGCAAUGCGACUACGACGAUUACUAUCUCAUAGUGGUGUUCGACAUAUGGAUUGCCAUCAAUGCAAGAGGUAGUAACGGCAGAGGCUGGCGCAUGUUGGCGGCGGAAGAUUUGUACCCCUACACGUUCGAAGAUGCCGUGCACCAUCUAGGCCGCAUCUUCGCGGUGACAAGCCAGGGGACUUGUUUCAUCUGGUUUCCAUCCUACACUACGGGAGAUUACAAACGGAAUGCACAAACCAUCAUUUGCAUCCCUAACGAUACUCCAUUAUUUUGCAAGGACCAGUCAUCUCCCGAUCAAAACAAGAUCGCCGAUCCUGGAUGUGCAUUUGCAUCUGUGAUUCGGUCUAACCUGGAACCUUGUAGCUGACUUUGGCAUAUUGGGAUGAACUAUCUUAGCAGUCCUUACCCAUGGUACCACUGAUGUGCAACAUGGUCACACAAUCUACCAUGACCGGACCGUCACCAUCUACCCAGGUAUUCCAUUUUUUUUAACCCUCUCGCCUUCUCUUUCAUUGUUGUACUAGUACUUACUAGUACUAGUAGGAGUACUUUUUACCUUGGAGGACGCGUAUAGCUAGCUAGGCCCUUGAAGACUUGAACCCACUAGCUGCCACCAUUUUUGUUUUUCCAUGUCUUACUAUCUCAUCCAUGUAGCCAAGAGUGGCUAUAUAUAAUAAGUCAGUUAUUUUACUUCCUCCAUUCUGGAGUAGUACUAUUUGCUGCACAGUAUUACUGACCGCCAUAUUUGAGCACAACAUUAUUAUGCAUGUACCUUGACUAUUUACAUCACCAUGUGUCCAGAUCUGAGAUGCCGCGUGUACCAGAUAAACGAUGCCGAGUUUGAGCCCUGUGAUGCUACGUGGGUGCUGAGGAACACUGUUGGAGAGUACUCGCUUUUCAUUGGGGACAGCUACCCCAUUGUGAAGCGGAUGCCACCUUCCAUGCACGACACGGAAGGCCUGCCGUUCAUGAAGCAUGGUUGUGUCUUCAUUGCGCACCGUAAAAGUGCGUUAUAUCGACUAGAGGGGGGUGAAUAGGCGAUUUUUAUGAAUUCUUCACUGAGGAAUUUGCCGGUGAGGAAAUUCCUUAGCGAAGAACUACUUGCAGCGGAAUAACUACUCAGAAGUAAGCAUGACAGAAUACACACAUAGUCAUCAUGAUGAAAUGAACACAAACACAGAGUACAGAAAGCGUAAACACAGGAUAACACAAGAUGAAGACAAACAGACUGAAGAAAUUGAACUGAGGAAAUUGAGAAAGUCUUCAGUCAAAGUCUUCAAACACAGAUAUGAACAAUCACUCAACACAGUAAUGAGGAAAUGAAAGAGUUGAAGAAAUAGAACCAGUAAGGUU
rnacentral:lncRNA from 1 species